rnacentral:lncRNA from 1 species
CUCUUCCAAAUUAACAAGCCAUGCACAAAUCAAAUUCCCAUACAUCAAUAUUAUUUUACAUGUCUUUUUAACAGACUGAAUUCAUUAAGACAGAAGAGUACAUAACUCAGAGGUGAAUCCUACACAGCCACUUCUACAGAACCCCAAAGAUGUAAAAGGUCAGGAACAGACACCCAAGCACAAAUGCAGAGGUUGAAAGCUCUGAGGAACUGGGUAGCACCAAAUAAAUGCCAGAAGUAAAUGCUAUCACCAUUCCUAGGAUGGAAACGUAUGUGAGUAUGGCUGAAAAUUUUAUGAAACGUAGAAGCAGAUGAUAGUUUCGUUCCAGUGAAGCAAAAAAGUGGAGAAACACUGCUGCAGUUGAGCAAUAGAAAGCUAUACCAUCUGACAACAAGAAGGCCUUGAAGGCUAUCUUUGUUGAGAGAACUGCUUUACCUUUGUCGGGGCCUUCAUCAUUGUACCCACCAGGUAGAGUAAAGCCUGCUGCAAAAGUGACAGUUGCUAUGAGCGUCGCGACCAAUAAAUGGGUGUUGGAAAUGUCCUUGAGACGAUGAGAUCGAAGUUGCUUUUCUUUCAUGAUUUCUCUGUUCCUAUCAAGAAGUAUACUCAUAUUGCUAGCAGUACGAGACGCGCCAUCACUGCUCUGAGUACUGGUCUCGCUAGCACUACGAUAUAUGCCAUCACUGCUCUUUUGAUGUCCAUUGUUAUCAGUCCACAUAUUUGCAUUUUCCUGGUAUCCUUCAUUGUCACCAUUUUGCAUAUAUGCAUUUUCUCUAAUGACCAACCGGUGUAAACUUUGUCGACCACCAGCAUGCUCCAACUUCCUCAUGAUCCAAUACUGGCAGUCAUUUGAAAGGAAUUAGAAUGAACUUUUAAAGCAAAGCUAUGGGAAAAUUUUUGAAUCAAGCAUUGAAUCCAGUGGCUAGCUCUUAAAGAGUACAUCAAACACAUUGAAUAAUAUUAGCCAUCCAUUUCAGAUACUUUUUUUUUUUUCUCUUUUUUAAGUAAUCGCUUAACAGAUUGAAUGGCUAUAAUCAUUCAACAUGAUCUUUCUUUAUCAAAUAUCUUCAGAGAGAUAUGAGAAGCCUCACCAUGUCUAAUUAAAAUUUGUCUCAAUCUUUACAGUAACGUACCUUGAUUAUUUCUCCAAUAUCCAUAUUUGACUGAACAAUGUCAAUAGUCUUCAAAUACUCAUUGUUCAUUGCCCUUUUGUCCACUCUAUCGUCUGCAGCCAACAUAUUCACAACCCCGUAAUGUCCAUAAAUGGCAGCUAGAUGAAGUGGUGUGUUACCUUCCUUAUCUGGCUCAUUUAUGAUACUUUCCAAGUUUGGCUUCUUCAGGAUAUAUUUAACAACGCUAGCCUUUCCAUAUUGAGCUGCAAUAUGAAGAAUUGUGCGGCCUUUGUUGUCAAUCAAAUCAUAAACAUCUGGAAGACAUGUGAUAAUCUUUUCCAUUACAUUAGUGUGGCCCUCUUUGGCUGCAAUGUGGAGAGCACAACUGUGUUCUCCAUCCAAUAUGCCAGCAACAGUUUUGUCUUUCGUCAGUAACUUCUCAGUUGCUUCGAGGUGACCCAAGUGGGCAGCAUAAUGAAGAGGGGUCCACCCAAAUUCAUCUGGCUUUUUUAUCACAUCCUUCUUCUCUUCAAAUAGUACUUCCAUAAUAUCUAGACAUUGGGAGAAGAAGGUUAGAAAUCUUAAAAAGAAGUGGAAGAAUCUACUUAAAUAGCAUUUCAUACUUCACCAAAAUUCUGUCGAGAAAUGGAAGGCGACCAAAACACCAUUUCCCCCAUAUUUUAAGCAUAAAAAUGUCCUCAAUAAUGAUCCCCUUCAUUUCCAAAAAAAAAAGGGAAAAUCCUCAUACAUCUUGAUAAAUAAACACAUGGCUUAAUCAGUUGUAUGGUUUGAAAGUCUUUUCUUUUUACUUAUAUAGGAAUGGGUGUUCAAAUUGGGUGAGAAUGGAGAGAACUCUCCGCUCAUAAGCUUUUUGCAGUAAAAAGGAAAAGGGAAAAAAUCCAACUUCUUAGGCUAUGUUUGGUUCCCGGAAAAUGCAAGAGAAAGAAAAUUGGAAGGAAAAAUGGAAGGAAAGAAAAAACUAAGAAAAGUAAUAUAAUUUUUUUUUUCACUUGUUUGGUUAUCCAUGAAAAAUUUAAGGGAAGAAAAAAAAAAAGAAUUCAUUUUUUUUUUGUUUGGUUAAUCACGAAAAAAAAAGUUAAGGAAAAAUGGAAGGAAAACAAAAUCAACAAUUUGUCUUAUAUGGUUAUCAAUUUGUUGAAUAAUAAAAUAAAUUUUAUGCUCUUAUUUUCUAAAAUUAUGUUACUAUACUAAUGCUUCGAUAAUCUAUAUGAUAUAUCUAGAUUGAAGUAGCAUGACCUAGUACAAAAUUUACAUUUAUUAUUGUUAAAUUAUAGCCAUGGAGAAUUGAAGUAAUGUUAAAACAACAUCAACAAAGAAACAGAAAAUGCAAACCACAUGAAAAAUAAAAUAAAAAAACAGAGAAAAUCUCUACUAGCAUAUAAGAGUUUGACAUAACGACUUGAAGUGACUUAAUGAUUUAAUUUAUUUAUUUUUAUUUAAUCUAAAUUUUUUUCAGUUGAUUGUUUUAAAAAAUAAUUAUAUAAAUAUAAAAAAUAAUUAAAAAUAAAAUAUUAAAUAUAAAAUUUAUUUUUAAAACAUCAAAUAUAGAUUAAAAUAAUUCCAUACCCAUUUUUGUUUUCCAAAAACAUUAAAAAAUUGUUUUUAAAAAUUGUUUUAAAAAGGGUUGGCAAACACACCCUUAUUGAAAAAAAUAUACAGUAAAAAUAAAAAAAUUAUAUAUAUAUAUAUAUAUAUAUAUAUAAAAAGAAAAAAAAGAGAGAGAAGGGCCAAUAGAGUGGGUUUACAGGGGGGGCAUGUGCUCUUCCAUUCAAACUUGCUUUCAACUAUUUUACAGUUCGACUGUCUUAAAAUCGAAUGGAAAAUGAAAGCGUUUCAUUCAAAACGCUCGUUGAUCUCCGAGAUUUCGCCUCGGCUUUCGUUUUAUAAUGCCGCUCAUCAGAGAAGUUUCGGAAGUUUUGCUUAAAACCCUACGAAAUUUCCUGAGCCCUUAUACUGAAGAACCAAGUAUCUCUUCUUUGAAAUAUUUGUAUUGAUGCUUUGUUUGUCUCGUGAGAAAAAGUUAGGGUAAAGAAUGGGAGUGAGGAGAUUUAGAGAAGGAGAGGGGAAAAAAAUGUAAAAAAAAGAGGAUUUUUCCUCUCAUUUUCAGGUAGCCAAAUGAUGGUGAUGAACUUAAAUGGAUUGGGGGUUUGGUAAAUUAGGCCUACACUAUAGUUUUUUGUUGAGAAAAGUAGGGGAAAAAUAAUGGGAGAUGAGAAAAUUUGGAAAAGAAAAUAACCAUCUAUUUUGAAGAAUUUAUUUCAUCCAUGGGAACUUGAUUUGAAGAACGCUAGAGUUGUUGAAAUCUUUGUCAACCACCGCAAAGCCUGGCGUAGGGAGGAGAAGCGUGUGGUGGACUAGAUCCACGCCGCCGCAGAGGAGAUCGCCUGCCUGAGGGCCAAGGUGGGGGAGCUAGAGCAGUUCGAGGUGGAGCUGAAGGCCAUGGUGGAGGAGCUAACCAGGGAGGUGGGGGAGAGGGAGGAGAUGCUCGGUGAGGACGAUACACAAGCCCGAUAAAAUUUCCUCCAACUUUUCCCUUCUCUUUUUCUCUUUAUUUUCCUCAUUAUUUUUCAAGGAAACUAGUUGGGAAAAUAUCAUGAUAUUUUCUUUAAUAUUUUCCUUUAUAUUUUUUUUCCAUCACAUUUUCCAUGUCAUCCAAACUAAAGAAAAUAAUUUUUCACAUGAUUUUUUUCCUUUCCUUAGCAUUUUUCGGGAGCCAAAUAUAGCUUUAGUAAACAAGAAUGAAAAGGGCAUAGGAUCUUCUUACUUGAGCUUAAUUAACUUUAAAAAGGGGACAAAAGGAAUUGAAGUCUUAUUAAAGCAGAGGAAUUUACCAAUUUUAUCAUUUUUUCCUUUGAAGUAUCCUCGUACCCGAAAGAAAAAGUUCGUAACCACACGGCCAUGUUUUCCCCGAAAGAAAAAGUUUGUAACCACACGGCCAUGUUUUCCCCGAAAGAAAAAGUUUGUAACCACACGGCCAUGUUUUCCCCGAAAGAAAAAGUUUGUAUCCACACGGAGAUGUUUUCCUUUGAAGUAUCCUCCUACCCGAAAGAAAAAGUUUGUAACCACACGGCGAAGAUUUUCUAGAGAUAAUUCGGGAACUUCUUGGCCUGCAGCAUGAUAUAACAAACUAAAAUCAGUGGUAUCCCCAUAAAAAUAACAAAGAAGGCCAAAAAAAAAAAGGUUUGCCUUUUAGUUUGUUCAUCUUGCAUAAGGGAUUGAAAAAAGGAAAAGGAAAAAAAGAAAUAUUUGUUGAAAUAAUUUUCAAAACUUCAUUCCAAAAAAGGAAAUAAUGAAAGUUGAUAUUUUUCAUCUUCUUAAUUUCUUUUCUUCAACUUCUUCCUCAUUUUUCUCUCCAGGCAUGGUGGUAAGACUUGGGUCUUAGAAAGUCAACACCCAAAUGCCUGAAGACUUGGGUCCCUUUUUUUUCUUUUUCUUUUUUGUCACAAGAAUUAUCACUGGUUGCAUGCCCAAAUUAACUUGAAAAAGUAAAACAAAUCAACAUUAGAAAUGAAGAUUUCAGAUAUAUUCCUACUAACCAACAUUGGAUUGUGUUCCUGGAAACCAUUCUCCUCCUAGAUGCAGUCCAAGUCCAUUUACAGACAGCUCGGGUAUGGAUUUACCCAGCUCAGGACCUACAAGUUAGGGAGAAUCGAAGAAAUCUUAUAAGUAUACAAAAGCAAGAAUGAACAUAAACUUUUAUGCAUAGAAAGAUUUUGACCUUUAUGGGUACGAAUCACAGCUGCAUGUAAAGCGGUCAUCCCUUUCGUGCCCUCACAGGAACAUUCAGAACUGUUUCCUUUCAACAGUUCGUUAGCAAUCUUGAAAAACCCCCUUUCCACAGCCAAAUACAAGGGGGACUCUUUAUGAUUAUUAACCAAAUCCAACAACUUAGGAUUUUCUUGAACCAACCGGUUCACCACCUCAAGAUGACCAUUCCUCACAGCCACAUGCAGUGCCGUAUCAGCCCUCUCAUUCUUCAUUUCCAGUGCUUGCUUGGCAUUUUUACUUUCAAGAAAGCACUUAACCAUGUUACUACAGCCAGUUCUCGAGGCGAUAUGCAGCGGAGUGUCGCCUUUGAAGUCAGCUCUAGUCAGAAGCUCUGGAAACUUCUCAACAAGAGCUUCAGCAAAGCCUAUGCACUUGAAAUUGGCAGCAAUGUGAAGAGCAUUGCGUUUCUGGGAUGUGGCUUGGCAAGGAAUACUCUGGAGGCUAUGUGGCUUCUGCAAGUAGUCCUUAUCCCCAGUUUUAGCAGCUAUGUAAAGAUCAGUAUCCAUGUCUUGACAAGGGAAAUCAGAAUCCAUGGGGAUGCUUGCUAGGAAUCUCCUUCUUUGCAGUCUACGUAUAUAUUACUAAAAGAAUAGACCAGUCCACAUCAAAUGGGGUACAGAGCUUGGUCAACAAUAAUUGCACCUCUCACCUACUGCAUUAACAGAGCUCAUAUCAUCACAAAAACUUUUUAGUACAUAUAAAUAAUUUUGUUUCAUAAAGUAUCAUUAUUAUUACUUCAAUAUAUAUUAGUUUUAUGAAGGGUUUAUGAUUGUAGACGAGUCAAAAUUCAUCCAUUUUGGUUUUGUUUAUCACCUAGUGUGGGCAUUUUGGCUCUUUUACGGUGUGUCCAUCGAUGCAAAUGCUUACACAAAGCUUCAAUGAAUUUUGUGGCACCCACCAAAGCUCCCAAUUCAGAAAUGUUGUUUUUAAAAUAAUAACAGAAUUGAGUAAUUUUCUUGCUUUCUUAUCUCCAAUGUUUUUGCUAAAUACUUUCACUUUUGGAGCUUGGUUUUAUUUCUGAUUUCGUAAGUCCUAAGAUAUCUACUACCAUGUACCUUGAAAGGUUGGUGUUGAAUCUAUUGAUUAAUUGUAUAUGUUAGGACAAUGAGUCUUCAUCAUAAGUUAGCAAUUUUGUUCCUUUUAAUUUUUGGCUUAGGAAUCUUUUUAAAUAGUGACUUACUUUCUAUUAAAGAUUCAAGGUUGUUGUUCGAUCAACUGAAAAGUCAUAUGUAAAUCUAAAAAGGUUUGAUUUGUGGCAAGUUAGGUGUUUAAAAGGUUUAAGUGGAUUGGUAUAUUUUUUAUUGGAUUAAAAAUGUUUUAUUUAAUAUUUUGAAAAUGCAAGGGAUGCUCGAGUGGUGGAAAUAGUGCUUAAGCGUUGGGACCACUCAAAACACUUAUCCAACACUUAAGUGAUCAAGGCACUCAAGUGGUAGGUAAGUGCGCUCAAGUGCUCGUCCCAAAUCUGUGAAAAUAUGGUAGAAUAUUUUUGGAUAAUUCAUGCAAAUUGAGUUUGGAAACUUCACUAUACCAAUCCCCUAAGGCUUGGAGGCCUAUAUAAACCCAUUAUAACCCUUUUAGUAUGAAGUGUAUUAAAACCAAAUGGAAGAAUAAAUAAUCAAAUGGAAGAAUAAGACAAUUAAGGAGAAAGAUUACAUGAAGAUAGGACCUUAUGCUUCAACAAUAAGUAGCCUUAUGUAUGUGAUGUUGUGUCCUAGAUUAGAUGUUUGUUUUACUGUAGGAAUGAUGAGUAGAUAAUAGUCCAAUCCAAGUAUAGAGCAUUGGACAACGGUCAAGUAUAUACUCAAGUAUCUUUAGAGAACAAGAGAUUAUAUGCUAGUGUAUCAUUGUGAUGAGUUGUUACUCGUUGGGUACAUGGAUUUAGACUUUCAAUCUGAUAGAAAUUCUCACAAGUCUACCUUUAGGUUUGUGUUCACUCUAGUGGUAGGGUUGUUAGUUGGACAAGUUUGAAGCAAUCCUAUAUUGUUGACUCUACCUUGAAAAUAUAGUAUGUUGUUGCUUUUGAACCUGUAAAGGAAACCGUUUAGCUUCGAAAGUUCCUGAUUGGACUUGGGGUAGUACUUUUGGUUAUGUCACCCUUGAUACUAUUUUGCCAUAACAAAGAGACGGUAGCACAAUCUAAAGAACCAUGAAUCCAUUGGAAAUGUAAACAAAUAGAGAGAAAGUAUCGCUUGAUACAUAAGAUAAUAAUGAGAUGAGAUAUGGUUAUGGAGAAGAUUGCUUCAAUGGAGCACCUAGCAGAACCCUUCAUGCAUGAAGACUUUGUCUACUAGAGUCUUUGAUGAUCAUAGGGAUAACUUGAGUCUCAAAUGUGUUCCAAGCAUGCCUUAGGGCAAGUGGGAAUUUGUUGGGACUUAGCCCUAAAAGGUAUGACAUGACGUAAUAGAUUAAAAUUUAUUUAUAAUUUUAUUUAUCUAUAUUUCUUGGUUUUCCAUUUAUUAUCUCAUAUGUGUUAAUAGGUUAUUUGAGCAUAAAUGUUCAUAUCUCUUACAUUGUAUAUGACUUGGAUGCAUUAAGAAUUGCACAAAGGAUACAAGUCAUAGGUUCGUUGUAAGUAGAUAAGUUGUCUAUAGUCAAUUCAAAGAUUUGGGAAAUCUAGUAGAAAUUAUAGUGUAGUGCCUCAUAAUUUGAGGGAUGACUUAUCUUGGUCAUCAAGAUAUCUUUUCCAUGGUGAGUGCACUAGUGUAUAUGGUUACACAUUGGAUAGUACCCAUGGUGAAUCAUGACACAAGGCUAUCAAUUAUCAUGAUUCACUAAGCUACUAUACUGCAUGGACUCUAAACCUUGAGAAGAUAUUGAACAUGUGCCCAAUUUAAUGAGAGUCUUUAACCUAUAGGUGAGAUCCUAAGGUGGUCAUAUAUCCUUAUGGAUUUGGUCACUACUAAUAAAUGUCGUUGGCAAUAGGUAUUUUCAAAAUAGGCACCCUGAUAUAUCAUAAGUUUGAGACUAUGUGUCCUCUUGGGUGAUUUAAAGGACAUGUGAUUUAGAAGACUAUGGUCAUAGCAUUUCCUUUAGUAAAAAUUUGACAUAUGCUCUUUGUAAGUAGAGUAUGUCAAUUGGUCACAUAAUAAGUGAGGUAUAUAAUUCAAGGAUUAGAGAAGUAAUCUUGAUAGGUAAUAGUAUUACCUUGUUAGAUUAUGAUACAAAUUCAUAAGAGGUCUGUAUGUAGUGGAUAGUAGGUCACAGACACAAGUUUUGUCUCAUUAUUAUUUACAUAAGGUAUUGGAGUACAAUUGAUUCUCUAUAGUGGGAUGUUGAAUUAAUUUCCAAAUUGGAUUAUGAGAAAGUGAAUACUCUUAUGGGUUCAAUGGUCCCAAUUCAAGCUUAUAUACCUUGAUGGCAUAGUUUACAAGGGUAGGAUUGACACUAGGUUCACUUUUAUGCAAAAGAGUGUUUUGGUAAUUACGUGAGGUUGUAUAAAGGAUAGUGAACAAGGUCUUUGGAUUGAUUUAAUUGAAUAAUUCGAUGGUUCUAUGAGGUUAAUUAAUCAAUUAUGACUCAUUUUGGCUAGAUUAAGUGAUCCAAGAUCAAUUAGGAAAUCUUAUAAAUUCCCCUUUAAAGAUUAAGGUUCCCAUGACUUUUGAGAAGAGAGUCAUCUUUCACCUCCAAAGAGUUUAGAGCCAUAGCUUCCUCUCUUCAAAAGAUCCACUCUUUGAAGUGCCAAGAUUGAAAUGUAGUCAUUAGGCAAAUGAUCUUGGGUUUAUAAGACCUCUUGAGACUUUAGGCUUCAUCUUCACCGUGUGGAUUAGAUUUGGGAACGUCUAAAUUGGAGGUAAAGUUUUCUAAAGCUUUUAAUCUAGAUUCUUUAUUGUUAAAAAAAAAUAUUAUUUUUGCUUCCAUUGCUUAGAAUCUAAAAGCCUAGGGCAGAUUGCAUGUAUCUAUAUAAUUCAGGGCUUAGGAACAAAGUAAUUCAGGGUUCCCAUCAUAUGGUGGGAAAGGUGUAUCAUUCUUCUUUGGUUUAUGAUAAGAUAUGUUAUCGUCAUUGGAAAAUAUGGUACCACUUUUUUAUUAAAAAAAUGAAAAAAUAAAAAAAGGUAAAGCUAAAGUGUUUUGAAAGUACCACUAUGCUAAAAGAAUGGUACACUUUUAAUACACUUUAGUGGUACCUUUUUUUUAAUAAAAGAAUGGUACUCUCUUUUUCAAAGGUUGUGUUGAUUGAUGUUAUCAUGUAAUAUCACCCACUAGAUUCAAAUUAUUUCAUCAUUAGAUAAGAACUCAUGCACAUAAUGAGUGGUAACAGACCUUAUCCUAAACAAAAGAAGAAUGGUACAUUUUUUCUAUCAUAGUGGUACUUUCAACUGAGUUCAAUGGUACUUUUCUUAUAAAAUAAUGAUACCUUCUUUUCCAAGGGUUGUGUUGAUAGGUGUUAUUACACAAUAACAUCUACUUAAUUCACGUUAUUUCAUCAUUAGAUAAGACAUCAAGUACAUAAUGAGUGUUAACAUACCUUCUAUAAACCAAAGAAAAGUGGUACAUCCUUUCCACCAUAGUGGUACUUAAUUUUAACGUACUUUAGUGGUACUUUUUUCAUAAAAGAGUAGUAAUCUCUUUUUCAAGAGUUGUGUCGAUCAAUGUUAUUGUACAAUAAUACACCUAAUUCACAUUAUUUCAUCAUAACAUGUAACGAAGAAUAACAUGUCUUAUCAUAAACUAAAAAAGAGUGACACAUAUUUUCCAUCAUAAUAGUACUUUUAAUAUACUUGAGUGGUACAUAUUUCAUAAAAGAGUGCUACCUUUUGAGUCAACAAGGUGCACAACUUAAGUUGUGCAUUACUUUGAGGUGCACUAAUUUAGUGAUCGAAGAGGAUGCACUAUUUUUUAUUGGCACUCUUAAAAGGUGUCCAACUUCAAUAUGCAAAAGUUUUUAUUUUUAAUAAAAUUAAUAUAAAUGAUUAAAUGUAAUUUAUAUAUAUAUAUAUAUAUAUAUAUAUAUUAUUUUAUAUAAAUAAAAAUAUUAAACAUUUUAACCAAGAAAAAAAAAUUAAAACUAUGGUGAAAUUAGAACCAUAAACAAAAAGCUAAAACCAUAAUCAUUGAUUCUAAUUUUCAUAUGAAAAUUUAAAAAUUUUUAAAAAUAUAACAAUAAAAUAAUAUCGCAGGAUAUUUUUAUUUAAUUUAUAUAUGAUUAGAUUUAUAAAACAAAUAAUAUUUUUUUUAGUAUGGAUAUAUAAAAUCUUAUAUCCUAAACCUCUAAAUUUUUUAUUAUAUAUUUAUUUUUAUAUUAAAUUUGUUCUCAUUAAUUAUUUAUUAUACAUUAUUAUUAUUUAUUUAAAAUAUCCAUAAAUAAUUGAAAUCAAUAACUAUAAAAAGAUGAAAUGGUGACAAAUUUUGAAAUUAAAAAGAUUUCAUGAAGCCAAUACAUUAAAAAAAAAAAAAACAUUGUAGAGUGAAAAAAAAAAAUUUCAUAUGGUAUGGUUGAUUGUCACACGAUAAAGUUUUUAAAAAAUAAAAAUUGUUAUAGUUCAUGGUAGGUAGGAGGAGAAAAGGGUAAUUUUAGAAUUUUGAUGAAUAUAACUAUUUAAGUGUAUAUUUAUAGGAUUAGUUUUUGUAAGUGAGAAGUCAAGUCAAACCUCUAAAAAAAAAAUCUUUUUUUUUUUAAGGUGCACAUGAUUAUAUGAUUCUUCCUAUCUCAAGGCUGGGGCCCAUGCUGAAAUAAUAUGUCAAUAACCCUCCAUAAAGUAGAGUUGUAAAGGCUACUUCCCUUCUGUCUCUGAUAUUUCAGUCUAGUGUGGCUGCUUUUAACGCUUCAUCUACCUCAUCUUCUUUUACGUUGAGCGUGGAAUCCACCAUCAUCUCUAGCCUCAGCAUAUGAUUUGAACUUAGGAGUACCCACACUGACUUUUCAAGUUUUGUCCAGUUGAGGAAACGUUGAAAAUUAUUUAGCAGAAGACUGAUAAUGCAACCUUCUUCAUAAGAUGGGUGAUUUUUGAACACUACUGUACUCUAACCAAAUACCAUUUGUGCUUAUAUACGUACGUAAACGUUAUAACAAGACCAAUCAAGCAAAAUUAUCAUUUUGGUGGAUAAGGGUGUUUUGAGCAGCAUUAGUACAAAAGAAUCAAUUCUCUUCCCCAAGAACAGACGAAGCUCAGUUGUCCAAAAGUGGGGUAGAGGAAGACUGGAAGAGCAGUCCUUGUUAAAAGCCGAUAGCCUUUUCUCUCAUUCCAAAGCAUAUGAUGGACCCUCUAUGUCCCCUCAUAGGUUAUUAAAAACGUACCAAAUGGGAGGGCCAUCUUGUUGGAGCACCGCAUAUUUGACAAAAUAUCUGAAGACCUUCACUGAAUAAUCCAAUUCUGGAUUUGGCUGCCUCCUUAUCAGUCUUUCUUUAUAGCCCCAAUUAUUUCUACCUUUUGGGACGGUGGUAGUGAGCAGAUAAUAUGGCUAUCGAGAUGGGAUUCACACUUCUUGUGGAGUGGUAGUUGUUGAACGUCUGGGUAAAAGGAGCCAUCUCCACUGUGAUACAGUGGAUGGAAUAUCUUUUCCCCUUUAUUACGCAAAUACUUGUUUAAUAAGUUCUUAUUCUCCUGCGAGUAACUUGCGAUUGAUUGUUUGAAUAGGUAGGGAAUUUGUUUAAAUUAGUUCCCCAUCCAUGCCCAUUAGAGGUUCUGAAAUUCAUUUGUAACAUUUAUGAUUUUUUGGAAAAUAAAAGACCUACUCCAAUAAUACCAAUAUGAAUGGUACCACCAAACUUUCGUACGUAUCUAUAAAGAAGGAGAAGGUGCCCAAACAAUGUAUCCAGAAAAAAACAUUCAAGAAAAUAAUCCCAACUACUAGAUUUCAACAAGUAGGAUUUUGAGCAUAAAAGAAAUAAAAUAAAAUAAAAAUAAUGACGGCUUCGAAUGACAUCACUGACCCAACGCAGGCAGAGGAGUUAGGAGUUGCGUGGAAAUUGUGAAAGGCGUAGAUCACGCCACGUGGAAGCAGUGGAGACAUGGCCAGUAGGAUAAUUAAUAUCCAUGUGGAUAACAGAGUGGAUCAAAACAAUGCCAUUCCCAUCAUGAAUGAACACUCAUUAACUUCUGCGUUUACUUGACUUUUGAGAGAUUUGCAAAACAUGUAGAGAGAGAUAUCACUGGAAGAGUUUUCUUCUCAUUAAUCAUGUUAUGACUUUUAGUAAUAAAAUAAGUAUGCAGCUGUUUAGAAAGAAAGAUCAGCAUGGGUAGUUGCAACGCGCAACAAAAAGUCCCAUCAGACUUCUCAUCCCUGGGAAUCUUACACUCGCUAGGUAGACUAAUCAAACCAGGACCCAACUGGUACAAACUACUGUUUCAACCACUCAAUAUUUAAGGAAUCGCUUCCUAGUCACUAAGAACAUAAACUAAUCAAACCCAACCUGGCACAGGCUACCUUAUCGACUAGUCAGUACUCAAGGGAUCAUUUCCUAGUCACCAAGAUCGUUAAUUUAGAAAAUCUUACACUGAAAAAUGACCUAUUCAUCUGCAUGAGCAUAUGCUUUUCACAUCCCACUGAAUAUAAUCUUAACAUCUGUUUCAUUAGUAUGAUUUUCUCUUAAGCUAUUGACUUCAAUAUUUACUAGGAAACGAUAUCAAAGGGAAAAAGAUUACCAAUUCAGAAAAAUGUAAAGCAAGGUACAAAAUACUAGAUGGAGAUAUCUCAAAGAAAGAAAUUCUUUUCCUAUAGCUAAACUAAUGCACACGAUCAAAUCUAACACUGACAUUUGUUCUUGGAGCCAGACAGAAAGCCAAGUACAGAUACAGAGUGUUUUCAAGAUGAGAUUAUUUGGUGUUUUUAACUAUUUAAGUUGAAUGAUGAAAACACAUGACUUCAACAAUGACAAACCAAAUUGGUUAGUAUCCUGCUUAAUAACCGUAGUUUGCUCCAUUCACCGGGCCAUAGCCUCCAGUGUGGCUUGCAUGUGCUGGGUUGGAUGCAGGAGAUGCAUACAUCGAACCAUGAGCUGCAUAAGAAUUAUAGCCUGGGUCAGCAGAUCCACCAGUUUGGGCCUGUGCUGGUGCAGCAGCUUCAGCCAUAAAAUUCUGCAACACAAACAAUCAUUACAAGCAGACAAGUCCAAUUUGAUUACAUAAUGAAGCAUUGACAAAGAAUAAACAAAAUUUUAAUGGAAAAAUCGACUUUUUUGGUUGAGUAAGAUCCCAAUAAAACAAUAAUUAAACAAUUCUAUAUUAUAAGUAAAAAUCAAUGAUGAAGCUAAAUGGAAAAGAAUGAAGUCCAACUGUCUGAAUUGCUGACCACACUUAACAUUUCAAUAAUAUAUAUCCUAUAAAAAAAAUUCUUUAAUUCUUUAAUUCUAGUAAUAAAGUCGGUCCCACCAUACCUACCCCCACACGCACCCAAACACCACAUACAAGGAGACAUCAGAAACAAUGAUCUAAUGCUAAGCAAUGUCAUUAUGCAAAUGGAAACUGCAAUAUUAGCAAAGACAAACCAACAACUUGGUAUCAAAAACAGGGAGGAAAAGUGCCUGUAUCAGUUGCUGAGCUGCUUGGACUUGGGAAGCAGUUCCAUUGAUUCACGUGGCUACAAAAGACUCUUUAGGAGAAAGUUGAGGAGUUCACAUGUGUAUAGGAAGAUGUUGGGCUUUGUGGAGCCUAGUUUUGUUUGAUCCGGUUUGACGACCCGACCCGAAUAAUAUUGCAUGACCUUUUUAAUGGGAGAUUUAUUGAGGCCUGUUGGGCCCGUUUAGCCCAUUGUGGAACCACCUUUUGUAAUUAGGGUUUUUUAGUAUGGUAGGGUUGCCGUGCUAUAUAUAUAUAGAGAAUAUUGUAGCCGCCAAGUUGUACUCUGUAUUCUUCCCUGAUAAUAGUGAUAUCCCUGCAACUCCGUGGAUGUAGGCAAAUUGCCGAACCACGUAAAUACUGUCUUGUGCGUGUGAUUGUUUUUCUUUGACGUGUGUUUUUCCUCUAAUUUUUUGUUUCUCACGGGUUGGGAAUUCGGUUUAAUUCCCUACAACUGGUAUCAGAGCCUAGGGUUAGGUUUGAGUGGGAGCAAUGGCAGAGAAAGCAGGAAAGGCGUCUGGAAUAGAAAAGUUUGAUGGCACAGACUUUGCGUAUUGGAGGAUGCAGAUUGAAGAUUAUCUCUAUGGGAGGAAAUUACAUCUGCCUCUUUUGGGGACAAAACCUGAGAGUAUGAAGGCUGAGGAAUGGGCGCUUCUUGACAGACAGGUNNNNNNNNNNNNNNNNNNNNNNNNNNNNNNNNNNNNNNNNNNNNNNNNNNNNNNNNNNNNNNNNNNNNNNNNNNNNNNNNNNNNNNNNNNNNNNNNNNNNNNNNNNNNNNNNNNNNNNNNNNNNNNNNNNNNNNNNNNNNNNNNNNNNNNNNNNNNNNNNNNNNNNNNNNNNNNNNNNNNNNNNNNNNNNNNNNNNNNNNNNNNNNNNNNNNNNNNNNNNNNNNNNNNNNNNNNNNNNNNNNNNNNNNNNNNNNNNNNNNNNNNNNNNNNNNNNNNNNNNNNNNNNNNNNNNNNNNNNNNNNNNNNNNNNNNNNNNNNNNNNNNNNNNNNNNNNNNNNNNNNNNNNNNNNNNNNNNNNNNNNNNNNNNNNNNNNNNNNNNNNNNNNNNNNNNNNNNNNNNNNNNNNNNNNNNNNNNNNNNNNNNNNNNNNNNNNNNNNNNNNNNNNNNNNNNNNNNNNNNNNNNNNNNNNNNNNNNNNNNNNNNNNNNNNNNNNNNNNNNNNNNNNNNNNNNNNNNNNNNNNNNNNNNNNNNNNNNNNNNNNNNNNNNNNNNNNNNNNNNNNNNNNNNNNNNNNNNNNNNNNNNNNNNNNNNNNNNNNNNNNNNNNNNNNNNNNNNNNNNNNNNNNNNNNNNNNNNNNNNNNNNNNNNNNNNNNNNNNNNNNNNNNNNNNNNNNNNNNNNNNNNNNNNNNNNNNNNNNNNNNNNNNNNNNNNNNNNNNNNNNNNNNNNNNNNNNNNNNNNNNNNNNNNNNNNNNNNNNNNNNNNNNNNNNNNNNNNNNNNNNNNNNNNNNNNNNNNNNNNNNNNNNNNNNNNNNNNNNNNNNNNNNNNNNNNNNNNNNNNNNNNNNNNNNNNNNNNNNNNNNNNNNNNNNNNNNNNNNNNNNNNNNNNNNNNNNNNNNNNNNNNNNNNNNNNNNNNNNNNNNNNNNNNNNNNNCAUCUCAUAACUUUUUUCCCCUCAUGACCUAGAAUAUUUAUAGAGAUAUUUCCAACAACCUUCCUUAUUUUAUAAGGAAGUCUAAUAUUAUAAUAAUAUAUCAACCUAAAAAUAUUCUAUAUAAUAUUCUUUACAAAAAGGAAUCUAUACUAAUUAGGAAUUUGGGACACUUCCUAACAAUCUCCACCUUUGACCAAAUUACAUGAAGUUAAUCUUCAAUCUCUCCAUGACACAAACCUUUUUGUAUCAUAUCACCACGAAAGAGCAAUCGACUCCACCUUCAAUGAAAAUUCCUUUUGUUUUCAUCUUGUGUACUUUGUGAUCUUUUACUCUUCCAGAAAUCUUCAACCCAAGCUCUGAUACCAAUUGUUGUGUCAAAAGGAAAACUACCAGAAUUGAAGUCCAUUGAUUUUGACAUGUGUGAAAGUUGCAUCUUAGGAAAGCAAAAAAAGGUGAGCUUCUUGAAAAUCGGCAGGACACCGAAGGCUGAAAAAUUGGAACUAGUACACACUGAUUUGUGGGGGCCUUCUCCGGUUGCAUCCCUAGGAGGUUCAAGGUACUACAUCACCUUUAUUGAUGACUCAAACAAUCACACACACAGUACACGAGAUUUUAAUGUGGUUCGGCCAACCAUGCCUACGUCCACGGAUGAGAGAGAAUAAUUCCACUAUACAAUAAAGAAUAUUAUAGAGGAUAGAACCAGAUACAACUAUUGGGUUCCCCAAACAUCCCAUGUUUCCCCACUCCUUGUAUCCAUACCUUACUACGAGUCCUCUCGCUCCACCAGGUACCUCCCGUUCUUCCUCACAUCUCUAUCCACCUCGUAUAGUCUCUAUAGGCCCAUCUCCAUCUCAUAACUUUUUUCCCCUCAUGACCUAGAAUAUUUAUAGAGAUAUUUCCAACAACCUUCCUUAUUUUAUAAGGAAGUCUAAUAUUAUAAUAAUAUAUCAACCUAAAAAUAUUCUAUAUAAUAUUCUUUACAAAAAGGAAUCUAUACUAAUUAGGAAUUUGGGACACUUCCUAACAAUCUCCACCUUUGACCAAAUUACAUGAAGUUAAUCUUCAAUCUCUCCAUGACACAAACCUUUUUGUAUCAUAUCACCACGAAAGAGCAAUCGACUCCACCUUCAAUGAAAAUUCCUUUUGUUUUCAUCUUGUGUACUUUGUGAUCUUUUACUCUUCCAGAAAUCUUCAACCCAAGCUCUGAUACCAAUUGUUGUGUCAAAAGGAAAACUACCAGAAUUGAAGUCCAUUGAUUUUGACAUGUGUGAAAGUUGCAUCUUAGGAAAGCAAAAAAAAGGUGAGCUUCUUGAAAAUUGGCAGGACACCGAAGGUUGAAAAAUUGGAACUAGUACACACUGAUUUGUGGGGGCCUUCUCCGGUUGCAUCCCUAGGAGGUUCAAGGUACUACAUCACCUUUAUUGAUGACUCAAGUAGAAAGGUAUGGGUUUAUUUUCUGAAAAAUAAAUCUGAUGUAUUUGUAACUUUUAAGAAGUGGAAGGCCAUGGUUGAGACAGAAACAGGUUUGAAAGUAAAAUGUUUGAGGUCAGAUAAUGGAGGAGAGUACAUAGAAGGAGGAUUCAGUGAGUAUUGUGCUGCACAGGGAAUUAGGAUGGAGAAGACCAUUCCUGGGACACCACAGCAGAAUGGUGUGGCUGAGCGCAUGAACAGAACUCUCAAUGAGCGUGCUAGAAGUAUGAGGUUGCAUGCUGGACUACCAAAAGCUUUUUGGGCUGAUGCUGUUAGCACUGUUGCUUACCUGAUAAACCGAGGACCAUCAGUUUCCAUGGAGUUCAGACUUCUUGAGGAGGUUUGGAGCGGUAAAGAGGUGAAGUUUUCACAUUUAAAAGUUUUUGGUUGUGUUUCUUAUGUUCAUAUUGAUUCUGAUGCUCGUAGUAAACUUGAUGCAAAGUCAAAAAUAUGUUUUUUCAUCGGCUAUGGUGAUGAGAAAUUUGGCUAUAGGUUUUGGGAUGAACAAAACAGGAAAAUUAUCAGAAGUAGAAAUGUGAUAUUUAAUGAACAGGUUAUGUACAAGGACAGGUUAACUGUAACGUCAAAUGUUACAGAGAUAGAUCAAAAGAAAUCUGAGUUUGUCAACUUAGAUGAAUUGACUGAAAGUAUUGUCCAAAAAAGGGGUGAAGAAGAUAAGGAGAAUGUAAAUUCAAAGGUAGAUUUGAGGGCACCUGUAGUUGAAGUUCGCAGAUCUUCCAGGAACAUUAGACCUCCACAGCGUUAUUCACCUGUUUUAAAUUAUCUCCUGUUGACUGAUGGUGGUGAGCCAGAGUGUUAUAAUGAAGCCUUGCAAGAUGAGAAUUCAAGCAAGUGGGAGUUAGCCAUGAAGGAUGAGAUGGAUUCCCUGCUGGGGAAUCAGACAUGGGAACUGACUGAAUUGCCAGUAGGAAAGAAGGCUUUGCACAACAAGUGGGUAUACAGAAUAAAGAAUGAGCAUGAUGGUAGCAAACGUUACAAGGCCAGAUUAGUGGUUAAAGGGUUCCAACAGAAGGAGGGCAUUGACUACACAGAGAUAUUUUCUUCAGUUGUGAAGAUGUCAACAAUUAGACUUGUACUUGGAAUGGUGGCUGUAGAAAACUUACAUCUUGAGCAGUUAGAUGUGAAGACAACAUUCCUUCAUGGUGACUUGGAGGAAGACCUUUACAUGAUUCAGCCAGAAGGGUUCAUUGUUCAGGGACAAGAGAAUCUAGUCUGCAAACUGAGAAAGAGCUUGUAUGGCCUUAAACAAGCUCCUAGACAGUGGUACAAGAAGUUUGACAAUUUUAUGCAUAGAAUUGGGUUCAAGAGAUGUGAAGCUGAUCAUUGUUGCUAUGUUAAGUCCUUUGACAAUUCUUACAUCAUAUUACUGUUGUAUGUGGAUGAUAUGCUUAUUGCAGGGUCUGACAUUGAGAAGAUUAAUAAUCUGAAGAAGCAAUUGUCCAAACAGUUUGCAAUGAAGGAUUUGGGAGCUACAAAGCAUAUCCUUGGUAUGAGAAUCAUUAGAGACAAGGCUAAUGGUACAUUGAAACUUUCACGGUCAGAGUAUGUGAAGAAAGUUCUCAGCAGGUUCAACAUGAAUGAAGCUAAACCAGUGAGCACACCCUUGGGUAGUCAUUUCAAACUAAGCAAAGAACAGUCACCGAAGACAGAAGAAGAAAGGGACCAUAUGAGCAAGGUGCCCUAUGCCUCAGCUAUUGGCAGCUUGAUGUAUGCUAUGGUGUGUACAAGGCCAGACAUUGCACAUGCAGUGGGAGUUGUGAGCAGAUUCAUGAGUAGGCCUAGAAAGCAGCAUUGGGAGGCAGUCAAGUGGAUUUUAAGAUAUCUGAAGGGUUCAUUAGAUACAUGUCUUUGCUUCACAGGUGCAAGUUUGAAACUGCAGGGUUAUGUAGAUGCUGAUUUUGCUGGUGAUAUUGAUAGUAGAAAGAGUACUACUGGGUUUGUUUUUACUCUAGGUGGUACAGCUAUAUCAUGGACUUCAAAUCUACAGAAGAUUGUUACUUUGUCUACUACAGAAGCUGAGUAUGUUGCAGCAACUGAAGCUGGAAAGGAGAUGAUUUGGCUACAUGGUUUCUUAGAUGAAUUGGGUAAGAAGCAGGAGAUGGGCAUUCUACACAGUGACAGUCAGAGUGCAAUUUUUCUUGCCAAAAAUUCGGCUUUUCAUUCAAAGUCAAAACAUAUACAAACAAAAUACCACUUUAUCCGUUAUCUUGUUGAGGAUAAACUGGUAAUACUUGAGAAGAUUUGUGGAUCUAAGAACCCUGCAGACAUGUUGACUAAGGGUGUCACUAUUGAGAAGUUGAAGCUGUGCGCAGCUUCAAUUGGUCUUCUAGCUUGAGGACAGGAGGAUGAGUUGUAGGGAUAAGGGAUCGUUUCUUGGAGGAUAGCGGUUUGAUGUUGGUGAUUGGACUAGUCUCCAAGUGGGAGAUUUGUUGGGCUUUGUGGAGCCUAGUUUUGUUUGAUCCGGUUUGACGACCCGACCCGAAUAAUAUUGCAUGACCUUUUUAAUGGGAGAUUUAUUGAGGCCUGUUGGGCCCGUUUAGCCCAUUGUGGAACCACCUUUUGUAAUUAGGGUUUUUUAGUAUGGUAGGGUUGCCGUGCUAUAUAUAUAUAGAGAAUAUUGUAGCCGCCAAGUUGUACUCUGUAUUCUUCCCUGAUAAUAGUGAUAUCCCUGCAACUCCGUGGACGUAGGCAAAUUGCCGAACCACGUAAAUACUGUCUUGUGCGUGUGAUUGUUUUUCUUUGGCGUGUGUUUUUCCUCUAAUUUUUUGUUUCUCACGGGUUGGGAAUUCGGUUUAAUUCCCUACAGAAGAUUGAUUCACAAGGCCCUUGAAAAUUUUCUAUUUAAAGCUCUUGUAAGGAAAAUGGGAGACAUAUCUUCCUUCUCCAUCAUUCCUUCUUUUCUCAUUUCUUUUUUCUUGAUAUAAAGCUAAGGAUUCUCUCAUUUCUUUCUUCUUCAUUGUAAGUUACUUGAUUGAAGCCAAAAUAUGUGCUCCAAUGGCACAUAUAUGAUGUUAUAAUUUAUGUAAUAUAAAAAGUUCAAAUCAUCCAACUUAACUUAAUUUCAUGCUACGACCAUAGUUAUGGAUCUAACUUUUAUUUUGAGCCUAAUUCUAAGUUUAAGGGAUGACAUAAAUGGAUAAGUGCAAAAGUCAUUAUCAACCAAGAAAGUAGAAGGGGUUAAAUUAUAACUAAGAGACUCAAGACUUAUGAACCAUGAAAGUCCAAGAAAGGGUGUAAGAAGCAAGCCAUAGGCAUGAAAUACCAAUAGUAGAUGUUAUGGAUUGAGAUAGAGGGCAAGAAACCAUAAUGGAGGAGGUUUGAAGCAAAUGUAAUCAAGUUCACAUGAAAUUUUGGAACUCAAAAUUUGGCAGUAAUAUUUACUUUGACUUUGAGAUAAAGUUUAGAACACUUUUUGAGGUCCAUUUUGGGAAAACUAGAUAUUGUUUCGAAGCUUGAGAAGUCAAAAGUCCAACGCUUCAAAUGAUGCACAAAUCGGAGUUGAAAUGAGGAAGUUAUGUGCAUUUGAAGCAAACUAGGGAAAGAAAAAUGUUGAGUUUGAAAUUGACAUCCUGAAUUCGAAAUGGUUUUUGGCUAGUUAAAACUCAAAAGGAAUGCAAGGAUACUUGUCAUAGAGGCUAAGUUUUAUCCUCCUACCUAUUUCAAAUAGGAGACAAAUUUCAAACCCAAAAACAUGCAUGGUGGGCCAUUUAAAACUCAAAGGAAUGCAAGGAUACUUGUGGCAAAAGCUAAGUUUGAAUCCCCCUACAUAUUUUGAAAAAGAGACACACAUUUCCAACCCAAAACUAUAGUGAACAUGCAUGGGCAGUGUGUGAGUUCUAAAUUCACUGUGAAUUUGUGGAUGUCACCAUUUUUUGUAAUAGACCUUUCGGAUAUCUAUCUAGCCUUCACAAUUAUUAAAAAGUAUUUAUUCCAAUAAUUAUGAUUGUAACCCUACAAAUAAGGUUAAGAAUAUUAGUGGAAAUUUAUAACUUCAGAGUUCACUUUCUUAUCUAAUUUUCCUCUCCUCUUUAUUGCCUUCAUUUACAACAUCAAAAAAAUUAUUAUUGUUUCAUCUACAAGUUGUCUAAAACUCAUUAAAUUCAGAGCAUAGAAGUAUUGAACAUUCUCAUAUAUAUACAUUUGUUUGAGGCUGUGAUAACAUACAAUUUUACAUUAUAUAUUAAUGGAUAUAUUCCUACCGUCAUAUCUUGUAGUGGAUCACACUAUCAAACCUAGAAGUAUUCGAAGGAAUUACCAAAAACCUUCUAUUAAGUAAAUACGCAGAGAUUUUAGAGUAAAAUACAGGCAGUUCCUUACUAAGAGAGUAUUCCAUCUAUACAUGAACUAAUGUAUAUAUUGUCUAUAAAUUAAUUGUGAAAUUAAGAAUAUACAAUUAAUAUCACAUUCUAUUCUAUGGUUCUACAGAAUCCCAAAGAUGUAAAAACUCAAGAAUAAACACCCAAGCACAAUUGAAGUUGUUGAAGUUGAGAAGGAAUCAGGUAGCAUCACAUAAAUGCCUGAAGUAAAUGCUAUCACCAUUCCCAGUAGAGAGAUGUAAGUGAGUAGGGCGGAAAAUUUUGUGAAACGUGGAAGCAAAUGAUAGUUUUGUUCCAGUGAAGCAAAAAAGUGGAGAAACACAGCUGCAGAUGAGCAAUAGAAAGCCAUAGCAUCUAUUAUCACAAAGACUUUGAAACAUGCCUUUGUUGAUAAAACUGACUUACCCUUGUUUGGGUUAUCUUCAUUGUACCCACCAGGUAGAGAAACAAGCUGCAAAAGUUACUGUUGCUAUGAGGGUUGCCACCAGUAGAUGGGCGUUUGAUACAUCCUUCAAAUACUUAGAUGUGAUAUGUUUCUUCUUUACAACUUCAUUAUUCAUGUCACAAAGCGAUUCACUUGCAUGAAGUGAUGUUCUCUCUCUGUCCUCUCUAAGCUCUAACUCAUUUAUGCCUUCAUUCGGUCCUUCAUUGUCAUUGAUUGUUCUGUCUGUGUUCUCUCUAACGAUCAGCUGCUCGAGACUUUGUUGAGCACCGCCAUUCUCCAACACUACAAGGAAAAACAUAUGUCGUGACAUUUAUAAUGAGUCACCCUAAACAUAGGGUGUCGCUACAACAUAGUGUCACCUUAUCCACUGACACCAUAGAGAGUACCAAUUGGUGACGUAUUUGGAAGAGACACCAAAGCAGAUAAAUGGUGACACAUUUAGAAGCGACACCAUAUAUUUUUAGUGAUGUUUAAUUUGAUAUAGAGUUGUGUGAGAUAUAUAAGGUGUCAUAUUAAAUGCAUCACAUUUGAGUUAUGAUGUCAUGUUAAAUGCAUCACCUUCGAGUUAUGGUGUCACAUCAUUGCAAAUGAUUAUUGAAGAUAUGGUUGGUUUUUUGUUGAUUAGCCUAUAGAUUUUUGUAAUGCUUAUUAAUAAAUAAGAUCAACGUGUGUAAAUUUUGUCCAUAAAUAUAAUAAUCAUAUUACAUUUAACUUAUAUUUUCAUAAUGCUUAUGAAUUAACUUGUAAUACAUUACAUCAUCCACUAAUAUUUGUAUAUCAAAUGUUCACAAAACAUAGUAUAUCAAACCCACCAAAACUAAAAAAGAAAAGUGAAUACACAUUAUAACAUGAUUUAGAAAUGUUAAGCAUCUCAACAUUCAUGUAUACUUGCAUUUCAUAUGCAUAAAACCGGCUAACCAUAAAAUGACACAAGAGUUGCAUCCAAAAACCCAAAAUUCUCAAUUCCAAAUAAAAUAACAUUUAUGUAGUAUAAUGUAUGACAUAAGAGUCACAUCUAAAAAUCCAAAUCUUGAUGCCACUUUCUCCUUUCUUUUUAUUUUUCAUACUGUCCUCCCAAGAGUGUAUACCUGCAUUUUAUAGUUUAAUGAGUUUUAGAGUUUUUAUUGAAAAUAAAAAUGUGAUGUUAUAAAAAAUAAACAAAUCUAAGUACUAAUAUUUUUUUUCUUUUUCCUAUUUUGAUAUAAAAAUAGUUCGUAAACAAUAAGUAAUGCUAUAUAAUACCAAUGGAAAAUUUAUAUAACAACUAAGGGACUCACCAUGCAUGAUCAUGAUACAUCAACAUGAUUCAUGAUUAGUUAUAACACAAAAGUAAUCAAUUGUCCUAUAAUUUCAUCAAAUUCUACUUGAGAAUAUGUUUUUUUUUGUCAUCAAACUAAAAUCAAAUGAAAAUAACAUUAAUAUCACAAUAAUUGGAAGUAUGAAACUCUGUACAAUUCAUUAAAUGAGUAAAACUUUUAAUGCAAUAACUGUAGAAUCAACCAUUAUCUCUUUAAUGAAUCUCAUAACAAAAUAGUCACAUUUGAACCAAAUAAAAACAAUUCAAGAAAAUAAAAAAUAAAUAAAAACUACAAAAUAAAAAAUAAAAUCUAAAAUUUUAGAAAAUACUAAUCUUCCACUUAAAAUCUACACUUUUUAAAUUUAUUUUUAUAAUUCAUUAUGCUUUUAAAAAUCAUUUUUAACAUCUAAUUCUUUUUAUAUUUUUUUUAUUUCUUGGAAGGAUUUUCUUAAUUUCAAUUUUUUUUUAAUGUUCAUUUUGUGAAAUAACAAUGUCCAUUAAAAUUCAUCUCAAUUAUAUAAAAUAAAAUUUUAGUAACAAAAUAUAAAAAUGUUUUUAACUACUAAUAUGAUAGGACAUGAUUUUAUAACAGGUAUGAAAAUUGUGUAUAUAAGACAAAAAAACCUAAUUCACUAUUAAAAAAUGUUAAGAGAAAAAUUAGUAUGAGAAAGAAUUAAAGAACCUUUCAUAAAAAUUAUUGAUUUUUCAGUCAUAACUCCAAUUGAUAUUUUUUUUUCUAAGUAAAAUAAUUAAUAGAAAAUUUGGAUAUGAAAAAUAUGUUCAAAUAAAAAUAAUAAUAAAAUAAAAACAUCAAAGGAAAAAAUAUUCAAUACUUUAAUUUUUUACUUUUAAUAUUCUGUAGAUCAAUAAUUAUCAAAUAUAAAAAAGAAAAAUGAAGAAAAGGAAGAGUUUUAUGGAAGGAAUUGGAAAAAAUUUUGUACUAAAAGGAUUUUAUAGAAAUUUCUUAACCUUCAAAGGAAAAUUUCAUCAUCAAUCUCAAAUUACUCCAAAGUUUGGUUAAUGCAUAUAAAAACAAUAAGAAAGGAAGGCAAAAAUAAAACACAUUUUUAGAAUCCUUUUGCGGGUGAUGACAAUAUUGAGAAUAAUUUUCUCAAAAAUUAUUUUCCAAAUAUCACCAACCAAUAUCCUCAUCAUAACAUACUAUAAUAUUCUUAAAAAAUAAACAAACAAUCCAAUAAAAGGAAAUUUCAUAGAAAUCAAAAGAAAAUUAUCAAACAUCUCCUUCAAAAAAAAAGAAAAAGAAAAAGGAAGAGUUUUAUGGAAGGAAUUAAAAAAAUUAUGUAAUAAAAGGAUUUUAUAGAAAUUUUCUAACCUUGAAAGGAAAAUUUCAUCAUCAAUCUCAAGUUACUCUAAAUUUUGGUCAACACAUAUAAAACUAUAUAAAAAAAAAGGUAAAAACAAAAAGCAAAAAACAUAUUUUAAGAAUAUAAAAAAUAUGAAUAGAACAAGAUGAGAUAUUAACCAUAAUACCAUGUAAAAGAAUAGAAAAAAAAAAUCAAAAUGUAAGAUUUGAUCAUUUUUAUAAUUAUAAAAAUUUUCAUUCCUAUUUAAAUUAAAAAAAAAAACAAUUCAUUUACAUUAAUAAAUAAAAAAUAAAAUUAAUUUCUCAUUGUUAAUUCCAACAUUCCAAACCGACUCCAACAUGAUAUGGAAACUAUUUCAUUUUUCAUUUUAUGGGAGAUGACAAUAUUGAGAAUAAUUUUCUAAAAAAUUAUUUUUCAAAUAUCACCAAUCAAGAUCCUCAUCACAAUGUACUACAAUAUUCCUUGAAAACAAAUAGAAAGUCCCAUCAAAGGAAAUUUCCUACAAGAUCAAAAGAAAGUUUCAUGUUGUAAAAUGUUUCUCUCAUUCUAAGUAUAAAAGAUAUUUAAAAUCAUUCAUUUUGGGGUUUAUGGGUUUAACAAUGAACUAGAAGAUAUGGUGGAAUGUUAAACCUAGUUUUUACUUUCUUACAACUCAAUAAAAAAACAUUAUUUACACAAUCCAUAUUACAAAUAUACCAAAUCAAUAAACAUAAAUCAAUUGUGUUAAUAAAGAUUUUGACAUUAAUAAAAAAAAAAUGAAAAUGAUAAAUCUAAGAUAUUUUGGGUUACCUGAGAAUCCACGAAGCAGAGAAGAGCAGUUGUGUGUUAACUAUGAGUGUGAGAAGAGGUAGAGGAAAACUUUGGGUGUGAGAAGAGGCAGAAGAAAACUUUGGUUAGGGUUAUGGAAUGAGAUUUUUUUGGAUUGUGGGUAUGUGGAAACAAUGACUUUUUUAUAUACUAUCAUUAUUCUUGAAGUAGGCCCAUUAAGUUAUAAUAUUUUUAAAAAAAAUUAUUUUAUAUGGUGUCACUUUUCGAAAACUCACACUAUAAAUCUAAAAUUAAUAUCAUUGAUCCUAAUUGAAAAUUUUUAUAUAAUGUGUCACCUUUUUGGAUUUUAAAUCAUAUGGUGUCAUUAUUUCAUAAGUGACACCACAAAUUAUUUUUGUAGUAGUGCAACUUCCUCAUGAUCAAAGAAUGGAAAGUUUUUUUAAAGAACUUAGAAUAAAAUGUUGUUUUUAGAUACCAAGGCACAUAUAUGACCAAAAAAUUCAAUUAAGGCAACAUAUUUCUUCUGUCUUUUUUUUUUUUUUUUCUUUUUUUUCAAGUUUCACAUAUUUAAAGAGAAAUAAAGCAGUGGAACCAAUGCAUAAUCUAAAAUCAUCGGUUUUCGAUGCACAUACCUUUUUUAUUUCUCCCAGAUCCAUAUUUGAUUGGACAAUGUCGAUAGCCUUCAAAUAUUUCUUGUUUGAUGCCUUCUUAUCCACUCUACGAUCUCCGAGCUUUGACCCAAAAUGCUACACUUUAAAAAAAAAAUCCAUAAAGUAAACCUAAUGUGAAAAUAAUGCCCAAUCUAGUGCGUUUGUGCCACAUAGAUUACCACAUCAUAAAAUCGUAGUUGGUAACUACGGUUUUAUUUUUUUAAAACAUUCAAAACCGUAGUCACCAACUACGGUUUUAACUGUUUUUACAAAUAGUCAAAGCCGUAGUCACCAACUACGACUUCAACUUUAAUUUUAUAUAUAUAAAUAAUUAUAUUGCUUGAUUUAAAAUAUUUAACUUUAAUUUAUUUAAAUAAAAAUAUUAUAUUAUUUUGAUUUUAGAUAGACUAAAAGUAUGUGAGUGAUUUAAUAAAAAUAUUUAACUUUAAUUUAUUUAAAUAAAAAUAUUAUAUUAUUUUGAUUUUAGAUUGACUAAAAAUAUGUGAGUGGUUUAAUAAAUAUAUUUAACUUUAAUUGAUCUCAUUAUUUAAAGAAUAAUAAUAUAUGAAAUUAAAUAAUUGAUGUCUUUAAUUUGAUAUAAAAAUAUUUUGGUUUAGUUUUAUUAAAAUAUUUGACACUAUACUCAAUAUAAAUAUAAUUAGUUAUAAAUAUACUAUUUUAUGCCCUCAUAAUGAAGAAUAUUAUAUUAUUUUGUAACUUUGUACAAAAAUUAAAGCCAAUUAUGCAUUUGUACAAAACAUAAUAUGACUUCAAGUGGGUAAAUAAUUGGAAAAUUACUUAAAUACAACAAAAAUAAUUUUAUUUUCUCCAAUUUUUUCCUUUCAAAAUGGGAUCAAAAUGGAAUGGAAAGGCUUAAAAUUUUAAACUUAAAAUGCCAACCUAAUAGAAUUUGUUUUUCCACUUCUUAAAAUAUAGAAUUGUAGAAAGAAAAUACCUAUGUUUUUCCAAUCAAUUCACCAUUUAGUUUAACUGUUUUGGUAAAUAAAUGAAAAUGCUUUUAGAACAUUUUUGUAAAUUCAUUGAGAAUAAGAAAAAUGUUCCUUAUUGGGUUUUAACGGGAGUUUUGGACAAAAAUGAUUUCUUUAAAACAAAAAAUUCAUAAAUUAAUUUUAUUCUCAAAAUAAUUUUCAAUGUGAUGUGUGUCUUAUUCAUGAGGGUAUUUACAUCAUAAAACUGUAAUUGGUAAUUAUGAUUUUUGAUUUUUUUUUAAAUAGUCAAAAUAGUAGUUGGUGAUCAUAGCUCUAAAUUUAAACCUAAAACCAAUUUUUUUAAGUUCAAUUUUUUAAAUCAUGCGAAUGUUCAAUAUGCGAUGGUCCUCUCCAAUAACAUGCAAAAUAUCAAUAGCAAUUCGAUGAAUGUUGCCUAAUGCACCUGAAGUAGGCUCAGCAAAUCGACUAGCAAUCUCAACCAUACCAGUGAUCUAUUAAAAAAAAAAAAAAAAAAGUUAAACAGACAAAGAUGAUUUUUAAUUAAUUAAAAUUUAAUAAACCAUUUAUAAAUUAAAAAAAUCUUACCAACAACUGAGUAGCUGCUGCUGUACUAUGAUACCUCAUCUGAUCUCUAUGGAAAGGGGGUGUGAUCAAACGUCGUGUAAUACGUCGGUACCACUCUAUAUAUGGAUCAUGAAACUGCAUAGCACCCACCAUAGGUGGUGCCGUCACAAUACGCUCUGCACGACUAGCCCAUAAGGUAAUAUACUGUGCAUGAAAUGCCUCCCAAUCAUACUUAUGUCGUCCUCGCCUAUCCAUGGAAUGGAGGUGUUGCUCUAUGGAACAAGAUGGAGGUAUCCCUUGUUAGAGGCCAAACUAUCGCAACACUCGCUCCGGUCGAUACCACUCGACAAUGUCAAAGCAAAUAAGAGGUGACAUCAUCCUCUAAAUCUCCUGGUCUGCUAGAGAUAUCGCUGGAAGAUGGGCAACUAAGUCUUCCAUGUAAGGCUCCCAUAAAACCUGUUAAAAUCAACAUUUGAAAUUAAUAAAGUUAAUGUUUAUAUGGUUAACAAUAGCACAUUAGAUCUUAUAUGUACCUGGUCAUGGGUCUGUGCAUCUAAUUGGUCUCGAUAAAAUGUCAACACACGUGAUGGGUUUUGAGCCCAUGAUAAAGGUACUCUCCACCUACAUCCUAACGGAUCAGCUAGUAAACCCUCAUGUAACAAUGCCUCAUACUGUAAUCCCUGCUCUAAAUGCUCAACUGGUAAAUCAUUGACUGCAUCAUCCUCUAAAUGCUAGGCUGUUGGAGGGGUUGGUGGUUGACCAAAAUAAGGUCGACCCAGGUGGAGUCUCUCCCAAGACCAUAACUGCAAAAAAAUGUAACAUUAAAAUUUUACUUAAAUUAUAAACUUGAAACAACUAGAAAUUUCAAUCUAAUGUGAAUAAUUAAUUAUACCUAUAAUAGUGUGACACAUCCAGCAAUAUCGGUGGCACCAUCCAAACUCACUCGACACAACUCCCUAUAUAGGUGUGCUAAUACUGCACUACCCCAACUAUACAUAGAUGUCUAAGUCAAGUCUCUAAGAAGUGGGAGAUAACACAUAUGUAUGUGAGUACCCUUCUUGUCUGUAAAUAGAGUUGAACCUAUGAGUUCUAAUAUGAAAGCACAUGCAUACUGCUCUAAUGUGGCAUCAUCUAAAUCAACUGGUGGAUGAGAGAACUGGUGACAUAGCCAUCGUGUCGAUAUCGCUGAUCCUUUAAUCUCAGAUGUAGGGGGAGUCACCCCUAAAAGUUCAUAACAUAGCAAUGACCAAUCUAUAUCACAUGUGCCAGUGAUGGGAAGCCCAUGAAUACGAAGACCUAAUAUGACAGCAACAUCCUGUAAAGUAAUGGUCAUCUCCCCAACAGGUAAGUGAAAUGUGUGUGUCUCAGGACGCCAUCUCUCAACUAGACUAGUGAUCAAUCCCCAAUCUAGUGUAAUGUGUCCAAUACGAUAUACACCAUAAAAUCCAGAUUGAAUAAUAUAAGGUCGAAGACGAGGAUCCAUCUCCCACUCCCGCAUAAACCUAGAUAUAUGUUGUCAACAAGUCAAGACUGAAGCAAGCUGUAAAAAUACAAAUAAAUCAUUUAGAUAAUAAACUGUAAUUUUUUUCAUUCUUUAAAGAGAUAUUAUGUGUUUUCAUAUACAUACCUGACCAGAGUCAACUAAAUGAGACCUAUGUCUAUCAUGUAGAACCAAAAUAGACAUAUCUAAUGGAUCUGGAUCAGAACUAUGUCCUCUAUACUCCAUAUUUGUAACAAAAUUGUGAAGAUAAAUAAACAAUACUUAUUGUUUUUAAAUAAAAAAAUAUUUUUAAUGGAAAAGUUUUAAAAAUUUAUGGAGUUUUCCAUAUAUUAAGUAUAUAUCAGUUUGAUAAAUUUAAGUAGAUCAAUUCAUUUAUGACCAAUAAACAAGUCAUACUAGUUUAAAAUAAAAUUAGAGAUACAAAUACAAUGAAGCAUUUUGUUAACAUUUUUAAUAGAAAAUUUCAAAAUUUUGACAGAGUUUCCCCUAUAGUAUGGACAUUAUUCAAAAUACAAAUAACCUGAUUAGGCAAAUAACAUCAAUAUUUAUAAUCAAACCAAAGCCAAUAAUUGAAUAAAGGUAGUAUCAUAGUAGCUUACAUCACAAUAUCCAAGAAAAUUACAUGCACACAUCACAAGGUCUAAUCAACUCUAUUACUGUUUUGACAAGAACGACGAUUGUGGCCACUUUGUUUGCAUAACCCACAUGUAAUAGAAGUCUUGCCAUCUCUAACAUCCAUUUCAUUAUGCAAACGACUUGAUUUAGGUCAUCCACUCCAUGCACGUUUCAUCGACUCAGAAGGCAUGAUAAUCGGGCCAUCAUAAGGAAGCCACUCAUAUACAUUGAAAAUGGGAUGGAACAAGGGUGCCCAAGUAUUAUAGUACGAUUGUGUACUGUAGUAGUGUUGAACAAGUGGUCUAAAAUCAAUUGAACGAAAAUGACAUGCUGCUAGAAUAUGACUACAUGGGAAUCCAUAUAUGAGUGUUUUACCACACGUGCAUGCAUACUCCUGUAAGUUGACGCGAUAUGUUCGACCACGAGUUGAGCUACUCUUAGUACCCCUAUUACUCUUCACAUGGAAUUGUCCUUAGAUGUGAUCAUAUAAAAUAAUCUCAUGAGAUCCCACCUUAACCACAUUUGCCUUCAUCUUAGCAUCAACAUAUGGAGUGUAUUCCUCACUUGAAGCAAGUCGAUUAGCACCUUGUUCCCUUCUCACAACAAAGUAACUAUUUAGCCGAAAAAAUGUCAAUUGAACCAAAGCAGUUACGGGUAAGCUACGAGCCCCUUUAAGCACACUAUUGAACAUCUCCGCCAUGUUUGUAGUCAUGAUGUCGUACCUUCGACCUCCGUCAUGAGAGAGUGCCCAUUUCUCAAAAGGGAUUGCUUCCAACCAUUGUUGUGCGGCUGCAUUAAUCCUCCCAAUUGUGUUCAUAUGUUUAUUGAAUUUUUCAAUCUUGGUUGCUAAAGCUUCUCUGCACAUCAGAUUUUUUAAUAUUUUAUCCUUGAAUCGAGUCAUAAAAUUGCUAGCAAGAUGACGCAUACAAACCCUAUGAUAUGCGUAUGGCUCAGACCAACCAAGAUGAACAUCGCUCAUUGCAGCCAUAAUGCCUGGAUGUCGAUCUGAUAUAACACAAAGUUUCUUCCUAUUAGUGACUCUUGUUCUAAUACAUGCCAAAAACCAUCCCCAACUAUCAAUAUUCUCACCCUCUAUUAGGGCAAAAGCCAAUGGGAAUAACUGAUUAUUUCCAUCACAACCCAUAGCAAUCAUUAAAGUGCCUUUAUACUUCCCAUACAAAUGUGUACCAUCAAUACUGAGUACAGGCCGACAAUGCUUGAAUCCUUCAAUAGAUGGCUGAAAUGUCCAAAAAACUUGUUGAAAUAUUUCUGUAUUCUCCAUAAUACCAAGAAAUGUUUUUGAAAUUACAACACAUCCUGGAUUUGCCUGCUCUAAGGCAAUGAAAAAAUGUGGCAGCUCUGUAUAUGACUUAUAAUAAUCACCAAAUAAGUUUGUAAGAGCUUUAAGCUUUACUUUAGAUGUCUUCUUGUAUGAUAUUUGGUAUCCGAAUUUCUCCACAAUACUUGCUUGAAUAGCAGCCACUGACAAUGUGAAUUGUGCCUUAAUCAUUCCUUGGAUAUGAGCAGCAAUCAAGUUGGAAUCUAAUUGUUGAUGAUCCCGAUUCAAGCAAGGAUUUACACAUUUGUGGGGACCAUUGUGUUUAUUGAUUGCAAAUGAAGUUGUACCUUUUACAACCAUAGCAUGAAGUUUCCAUGGACAUUGCGAUUGCUCAGCCUUCUUGCAUCUUAGGACCAACAACUUUGUAGUUGACGAAACAACAACGUACUCUUGGUGUUGACUUAAAGAGUACAACUUUGUAGCAUGUUGUAAAUCUGCUUUUGAAUUAAAAACUUGGCCAACCAUGAACUCUCCAUCUGAGUUUCCAAUAUUAGUGUUCCCCCAUGGGGUCCAGUCACUUGAAACGGUGUUACCAAUGUUUUCUACAUUUUCAAACUGCAAUGAUGGUGCCGAGUGAUACUGAACAGGGGAAUACUCUAUUGGAUCAUCAAGAUCUGGGUUAUUUGACAUAUCACAACAUUCCCCAUCCACGGAGACAUAUCUCCCUUGUUCACUUUCCAUUGCUUCGUGAAGAGCUAAGAAAGAUGAAACAACAUUAACAUUAUUGUUUUCCUCAUCAAUAAAUUCAAACACCCCAUCGCCAUCAUGUUGAACAUCUUCUGCUCUCUCACUUUGAUCAUCACCUUCUUGGGAUUCACAUUCUUCUUCAUUUUCAUCUGCUUUACACUCAUAAGUCAUUGCAACUGGGGCACUACUAGGUCCACAACCAUACUCAAAUUCCUCAACAUUAUCAUUUUGUCCGAGUAAUAAUUGUGUGAAAUUACCCAAAAAUUGCCCCCUCUCCCGUGGUUGUACUGGCACUUGUUCAAUAUACAAUUCAAUUUCGUCCAUUCCAAAUGUGUUAACCAAUUUCAACAUUUGAGAUAAACUAUUAUCAUCCCAUAUUGGACAAGGUUGAAACCUAUUUUCCCUUUUUAAAGGAUAUCUAUAGUUGAGGACUAAUUGAAAUUGUUUUUUGGCAAUGCCAGUUCUCGAGUAUAUCAUAGAUAACAAGUGUUCAUAGGUUGAACUAACAGGCACAUCCAAAGGCACAAUUAUAACUAGAUCCCCAAUAUACUUUACAUAUGUUUUUGUCCUCAACACUUUUCCUUUACAAAAGCAAAUCACAGGAACAAUAGAUUUAGACAUGAUUUACCUACAAAAAAUACAAUAUCAAAUGGUUUAAUAAUCAAUAAAAAUAAUAGCAAGAGAAAUUGCAUAUAAUAUUUUAACAUGUGAAUACACAAUUAUAUAAUAAAACACAUUUUUACACAUUAGGAGGAAAAAUAUAAAUCACUUCAUAAUAAUAAUUUUUUUAUUUAAAUAGUUAUCUAUGAUACAAAUAUAAUGAUAGAUAAAUGUUUUAUAGAAUUUUAAUUUAAAACUUAGGUAGUGGGCUAUAAAUCAAUAAAUGUUGAGUUAAAAAAUUACAAUAAUCUUAAAAUUAAAUAAAAAAUAAUCCACCAAUUUUUUUUAUUAUAAAAUAUCAUAUAUUAAAAUAAAAUUGAAUGUUAUGAACUAUUAAAUAAUAUAUAAUUUAAAUAAUUAUGUUAUUAUUCAUGAAUCAAUUGAUAUUUGAUUAAAGCUAAAAGUCGAAAAAAAAAUAAAAAUAAAAAUCAAAUAAAAGUAACUGACCAAAAAAAAAUAUAUUAAUAAAAUAUCAAUUACACAAUUAUAAAAUUUUGAUAUAUGUGUUUAUUCUGUUUUUGGAAAGCUAGGUCCCUUCUUUUGACUAGUUUCAUUGAUCAGGAGCUGUCUAGAUGAGAAAUUGUGUGUGAAGAUGAAUCAAUAACCUAGGAUAAAUCAACAAUUUCAUAUGAAUUACCAAAUUGCAGAUCUAAAACAGGGGACAACAUGGGAUAUGGGAAGCAUGACCUCAAAAAGAUAGUAGAACCAAGGAUGAGACAUCAGUUUUCAUGGAUAUAUCGGUAGUUGGAUUUUACGAAUAUACUAGGAUAUAUCGGGAAAUAUCAGUGGAAAUUUUGACAAAUAAAUCGAUGGAAGAAAUUUUGAGGAAAAAAAAAAGAAAAAACAAGAAAUAAUACGCAUAUUCAAGUUAUUACUUUUAAAUUAUAUAUAUAUUAUUUCUAAUAUUCGAUAAUAAAUUAAUAAUAUAUAGAACUUGAAAACACAUUUUACAUUGAUAUAUCUAAAAGAUACAAAAGAAAUGAUGAUAUAUGUAUGAUUUUCAAAAUAUUUGUAAUUUUUUUUUUCUAUUAAGUUUAAUUAAUAAAAAAAAUAUGAACAAAGACUCAUUAAAAAAUUUAUGAUAAUCAUUUUUAUAUUUUUAAUACUUAAAUCAAAUUUGGAAAUAAGAUAAUUAAAAUUAAAUUAUUUAUUAGAUGUUUAUUUUAAUAUCUUAUGUAUGAUAAAAAUGUAUUAAAAAUAUAUUUGUCUCCAAAAUUUUUUUAUUUUUUUUAUUAAAAUGAGAAAAAUAAAAAUUUGUGUGUGUGCAUAUAUAUAUUUAUUAACAAUUGUAAAACAAAAAUCACAUUAGUCCCACUGGUCAUGAACUCUUUUGCCAUGUAUAAGAACAAGGGGGUUUGAGUUUUUAAUAUGGUUUUCCCAAAAUUUAAAUUGUUUAUGUUGUCUACCAUAUGAAGUAAUAGCCAUCUGGAGUGGCAACAAAAAGGUCAAGAUCAGAUUCUGAUGGCUAGGAUAAAGGCCUUGAACCCACCUUAAUAAUAGCAACCAUUACUUUGUUUUCUUGUACACACUUUCCUCUCUAAAUACAAGGCAAAAAAAAAAAAAAAAAUUGUUUAAAUGAAGGGCUCUCAUUUUUUCUUCUUCAAACUUGGCAACUUCCAUACAUAUCAAGAAGAGAACUAUUAGGCAAAUCCUAAGUGGAAGGAAGUUAACAAAAGUUGAACUGUUACAAACUUAUACUAGAGGCCUUCUACUCCAAGUAUACUAAGCCUUUCAUUGUACCAUGUAUAUUGUGAAAAGAUCAUAAGCUUAAAGCUACUAUACUUUUUCUCUUUUUCACAUUAAUUACUUUUCUGCAUGGAAAAUGAAAGCAAAAGAGAAAAACAUGUCCCUUGACACUUUCCAUACCAAACAAUCCAUGGUCAGCGUUUUUGUCUAUUUUACUUGUAACUUUUAUGCACUGCACCUCAUUUACCAUUUUUGUAUUUCUCAAAAACUAGCUAGCUAGGUUCUGUUUGACAGCCUUUAAUUGGUAGGAAUAAACUUCUUUUUGAGAACCCAAAUAUAGAAGUUUUUUUUUUUGCUCGAGAUACUGUACACUUAUGAAAUAGUAUAAAAUUUUCCAACUUAUUCUCAUUAUUUUUAGAUUAUUUUUCAAAACACUCUACAAAAAAAAUAUGUGAAAAAUCCUUAAACUUAUUCAAACAAACCACUUUAUAUUUAGAAUAAAUUUUCAAAAGCUAUUUCCAGUCUACAACUUACUAAACAUUGAAAAACUAUUGUUGUUCUAAAAACAAAACUUUUUUAGAAAAUAGGCCCCCUAAAGGAUCCACAAGAUGAAUAGGGCAAAGAUCAGGGAGAUCAAUAAAAAAUGAUCAGACAGUGAGAUCUAUUAACAUAGUGCUCAAUCUAAACAACCUUGUUCACACAAAAAAAAAAAAAAAAUGGGUCUAGUUUUUUCAUGAGUUUUACAGUGGUAUGUAUUCAAAUUUCCAUGGAAUGUUUUUGACAGUGAGAAACGUAAGAUUGAACCCACAAGAAGGGAGAAAAACCAAGCUUUGAAGCUUACCUAUCCACAAAUACAGGAGAGCAACCUCAGAAGAAGAAGAAGAAGAAGAAGAAUAUGCUUGUACUAAAGCUUUUGAUUAAGGUUUAAUUUGGAAGAGAAUGGCAAAGAGAUUCUUGAGGUAAACCAAAACAGCAGCAGGAUAAGGAGAAGAAGAAAAAGAAGAAGAAGAAGCAGAAAGAAUAACUAAAAAGGAAGUUGAUCAUAAGCCCUGCCCUUCAUUCAAUUCAUCUAUUUCCCAUGCAAAUAUAUAUGAUGUAAGUCCGAAUAUUGGCUAAAAAUCUAGAAACACAGAUAAUAAAUUUAAAAAUUAUUUUUUACAUUGGGGAUUUCAAGUAAAAUUUUGAAAAUAACUGACAGAUAGUUUAAAAAAUUAUCCUCAAAAUUUGUUUUUUAUAACAAUUUUAAAAAACAGUACUAGACAAGUUCUAAUAAUUUCUUACUGAGUGGGAGAAUGAGAGAAAAUACAAAUAAAAUAAUUAAAAAUCUCAUAUAUACCAACUGAUGAAGGAUUGAAUGUUCUAGUUUUCAACUUUUCAUUAGUUCAAUAAAAUUACAAUAAAAUGAAUGAGAAUUUCUGCAGAUGCAAAGAAGAUAAUAGAUUUAACAAUAAAAAAUCAUUAAAUUAUGUUCAAUCAGAAUCUCACAGGAAGCUGAAUGGAAAAAAAAUCAAGUAUCACCAAACUAAAGAACUAUAUAAACAAAUCUCAAGGUUCCAGGAAGUGGAGAACUAAACAACAAAACAUUUUGCAUAUAUUUUGAGAAUGGGUUUAAGAUUCUUGUUCAGAUAUUUGAAGAUAUACCAUCUGAAUGGUCCCCUCACUCUUGGUAACAAAUAUUUGAAGAUAUUUUCUAUUUCUAUAACAAAAAUCACCAGAGUUUUUUUACAGUGGUCCCCUCCAUUUUUGGUAUCUUUAACAAAAAGAAAUCCAUACUAGUCCCCCAUUCCAUAUCCGUUUUCUUUACCAAAAAAACCAUUUUCUUUCUGCUAAGCUCAAAAUCAAAAUAAAAUCAAACAUGUCUUUACCAAACAGAAACCAAACAAAUCUACAACAACAAACCAAACAGAUUUACAAAAAAAUAAAAAAAAAAAUUUACGAUUAACUGAAAAAUUCAUAAAUCUUACCUGACAACGACUUCCAAAUUUUGAAUUUGAACCAAAGAUGCAACGGGAAGGAUGAAACCCUAAAAGGAAGAACGAAACCCUAAAGGGAAGAACAAAAGCCUAAAGGGAAGAAAGCCAAUUGGGGAAAUGGAGAAACCUAAUGGGAAAGGGAUGGAAAAGGAAUUCAAAACCGUAGUUACCAACUACGGUUUUGACCAAUUUAAAAAAAUUCAAAACCGUAGUUACCAACUACGAUUUUAUGAUGUGGCAUUCCACGUGGCCCAGACGCACUGGAUUGGGCAUUAUUUUCAUAUUUGGUUUAGUUUAUGCAUUUUUUUUUUUUAAAUGUGGCAUUUUGUGUCAAAGCUCACGAUCUCCAGCCAAAAUCCGGACGCUGUUGUACUGUCCGUACAUAGCAGCUAGAUGCAAAGCCGUGUUGCCUUGCUUAUCUGACUCAUUUAUUAGGCUUUCCCAUCUUGGUUCUUUUAGAGUAUACUUCAUCACUAUAGACUUCCCACAUUGGGCUGCAAUGUGAAGAAUGGUCCGACCUUUAUUGUCAACCAAAUUAUUAGCACAUGGACAACGUUUGAUGAUCUCUGCCAUCAUAUUAGGGUAGCCUUUUUUAGCUACUAUGUGAAGAGCAGAACUAUCUUCUUUAUCCCAUAAGUAAGCAACUGAUUUAUCACAUUCCAGCAAUUUCCUAGUUGCUUCAAGAUGUCCUAAUUGUGCAGCAUAAUGAAGGGGAGUCCACGUAAAUAUGUCUGUUUCUGUGACCAUAUCUUUCUUUUUGUCCAAUAGUAUUGCAAUAAUGUCAUCUAACAAUUUAGACCAAGAAGAAGAAAUAUAAUUAAAAUAGACUUUUUCAUCCAGAGUACUUUUAGAAAAUAUAUUACGUUCUAUUUAUUUUAAUAUCAGAUAACAGCUCGGGAUUACUUCCCCAUGAGAAGGAUCAGGCAUUAUGCAAUGAAUUUUCCCAUCAAUUGUAAAGAGGGUAGCUACUAGCCAGUGUGGCAUAUAUUGUAAAAGCAAUUGUGUGAUUUUCUUUCCCUGGUCUUACUACUUUUCUAGUUCAGUUAAGCUCUCCACCUAUCAAUUAGAGAAGCAGAAGUAAAGGUUUGGGCUUGGGUAAGUAUUCUUCAAAAACAAUUCUAAAAAAUAAUUUAUAAGAACUAUUGAAAAACAUUUUCUAAUGAUAUUUUAUAAAACAAAAGUUCUAAUGGUUGUAUUAUUAUGCUUGGUUGGAACUAAUGAAUACAAUUCUGGUGACUAUCUGUCAUAAGUAUAGGGAGGCCAUGCACUCCAUGUAGAUUUGUUCGGCGUCUGUCAAGAAUCAGGAAUCGGUUAAUGGGGCUCCGAAUGUUCUACUAGCCUUGCCAAAAAGUACUUCAUGAGGCUAAACUCAUCCACACUAAAGUGGUGUUUUUUCUUUUUUUUUACUUAAUUCUAAAUAGAACUUUAAUGCUUAAUAGCGUUAAGUAUUAAGUUAUUUAUUUUUAUAAUACUUUAUUUCUAUUAAGCAUUAAAAAGUAAAAAAAAAAAAAAAAAUCAACAUAUCACUUUUUCUAUUCAAUAAAAAGUUUAUAAUAAAUCAUGAAAAAAAAAAACAAAUGAUCUAAAGUCUGAAAGCAAAUUGCUUUUAGCAAAAAACUAAAAAAACGCUCUCUAAGUCUAUAGAUUUAUGUAUUCUUGGCUUUGUAUAUCUUAGACAUGUUGGAUAAUGGUGUAACAAAGAUUUCUCCAUUUUUUUCUUAUGCAUUUUCUUCUACAAUAUUUUUGAAGCAUCCCGUUGUAGGGAUAUUUACACAUAGUGCAAUUUUGCUUUAUUUUUGUUGGCAACUUCUUCUCUCUGUUGUAUUAUUCCAAGUACCUUAUGUUAUGUCUGACUCUAAAAAAUUAUUAAAUGAAGGAAAAAUAUCAAGAAACUUAUUAUUAUUAUUAUGUUUAGUUUAUCAAAAAUUAUUAAAGGAAGGAAAAAAUUGUUAAAAAAAUAAUUUUUAUUAUAAAAAAAAUUAGAAAAAUAAAUACAAUUAAAAUAGGUUAAAAAAAUUAUAUAUUUCCAAAUUAUUUUACAUUUGUGUAAAAAGGAAGAAAAAAAAAUGAGAAAAAUGAAUUUGAAAAAAUAUUAUUAAUAAUUUUUUAACUUUCAAUUAUUUUUCAUCUUCCUUUAUAUUUGUUUAUGUUUUCCUUGUCUAGUAUAUUCCUUCAAAAUUUUUAAGAAUCAAACAUGUGGGUUGCAGACUGGUUCGCUGGCCUGCUGGCCUGCUUGCCUGGUCCAAGCAUGAAGUUGGGUUGACCUCUAAUGGUCCCUUGGUGGACCAACCCACCAACCUAACCAAACGAAGGUUGCUACCUUGGAUCAAGUGUCUAGGAUUUGAGUAAUAUCUUCUCCUGGGUUAUUAAAUUUUUAUUAGUUUUCAACGGUUUUCUAUUUGUAAUGAUUAAAUUUUUAUUGUAAAAAUGGCUCAUAAAAACGUUGAUUAUCCUAUAACAAUGUUCCAGAAGCAAGAGAUUAUUUACCAUAGCUUUGAACCGUUAAUUUUGAAUAUCGAAAUAAGUGGAAAUAGAAAUAAAUACUAUUAUUAUGUUUAACUUUAUGAAAAUUGUUGUAAAUGAAGUGGUGAAUGACCACAUUAAUGGUCAUUUAUGAACUCCAUUUACUCAUUUUUAAGAUGAGUAAUGGGAGUUCAUAUUAUGAAGCCUAUAAAAGGCUUUUUACACCCCAUGUAAGCAGCAUCCCAAAAAAAAGAAAGAAAUUCUCUUCCUCUCAUUCUCUCUCUCUCUUUCUUUCAUUCUCUCAAUUUUCUCAACUCUCUUCUCUGAUUCCUUCUUCCCAUUAUAUAUAUUGUUAAAGUAAGAUAUAUUUUAUCUCUACUACUUUAUUUGUGUUGCAUUUAUCCUUGUUUUACAACAAAAAUUAUAUUUUAGAAUUAUUUUUAUAAAAAUUAUGGUGAAUAUUUGAAGGCACCCAAAGCAUAUUAACUUGUUCUUAAUAAAGAUAAGACCAUAUUGAAUGUUUUGAUAUUGGUUUAUGAAACUACUUAGAGGAGAGUGAAUAGGCGGUCCUCUGCUUACAACCCUCAAAUUGAAGUUUUAAAUAUUUUUAUUAAUUAUUAAUUUAAUCAAUAUAUGUAAUUAAUAAAUAAAGCAAAGAAUAAUCUUACACUUGACAUGUGAUGUACUUGGAAAAUCAUCUACAGAAUCUAUAAAAAACACUUGACGAUGAAAAAUUCAUGGGUCAAUUGAUCGUAGAGCAAAUUCACUAAUUUUGAUAGAAUAAAUACAUGAUCUUACCUAGAUGAAAUACUAUCUUCCUUCAAGCAUCUUACACAGGUCAGUACUUACACUUGCUUUCAUGUUCAUGAUGCAAAACCCAUGUAUUCCUUAGUGAAUACCUUAAAACUUUAAGAGAUGUGAUCAACCACCAUGAGCAACUUCAAACAAGAUAUGAGCUUUUGGAGUAUCAGGAAUAUGCAAAAGAUAAUAACAAUAAAUUGUAGGGUACGAUGAUGUAUGAAAGUACAAAGUUGAGCAAUGUAUGAUGGCAAAAAACUAACUAAAAAAGAUUUGAAAAGCUGACAAAUCUAGGAUAUUUAUGCAUAACAUCAAGACCGCUUAAGCCCAUUUUGUGGGCACUCGAGCGCUCCUUGUUAAUUUUAGCUUUUCUAAUUUAGCUUCAAGCCCAUUUUGAAUCUAAGUCCACUUUACACCUUAUGCAUGUCAUUAUAUUGUGAACAAGAUAACCCUACUUACCUGAACAAUCAUGUGAAUGAAUAAAAAAUGAUCACAUAUCUUCAAGGCCAAUGCAUACGUAGAGUUGAGUAAAAAAAAUAUUUGGAAUAAAAUUGUUAACUUAAACUAAUUAGUCUAGAUCACUAACACAAAUAAUAUCAAAUUUAGUUAAAAUACAAAUACACCUUCCCAUGAGCAACAUUAUUAUGUUUUACCUUCUUCAUCUUUUACAAGUUUUUAGUUAUAGAAAUAAUGAGAUUAAAAAAUUGAAGGGUAAAUUGCUCCGAUGACUAACUUGAGUGCCUUGGGGCAAUUUUUCUUUGCUUUACAUAUCUCAUAUACCUUAUUAUUGGGAGAUUAUUAAAGAUCGAAUCACAAUAGGACCAAUCCUAAAAUAAAUUCCCCAAAAUCAUUGAUAUUUGAGGCUAUGUAAUUUUUUUGCUCCAACAAGUUUAAUAUUUUGAAUAAGUUUAUCAUACAUGCAUGGAUGUACUUCAUUCUACUACUUGACUAGGGUAGCAAUCAAAAUAGAAGCAAACCUAAAAUCAAUGCUCUAAUAACGUUAAUGUUUGGAGCUUCAUAAUUUUUUUGCUCCAAUAAUUUUGAUAUUUUAGACAAAAUUAUUUUACAUGGAUCGACUUGCUUCUUUAUGUUUAAGUAAAGGGGGAGUUUUUCUUGCCUAAAUCUUGACACUUAAAGAUACUAAUAUUUGUGUUUUGAACAUGAGAUAAGGGACAAAUCACUAUCUUUAACUUGAAUUUAUGUUAAUGCAUGCUUUGAGAACUAAUACGCCAUCUUUUUUUUUUUUAGUAUAAAAGCAUAAGAAGGGAGGAAAUGUAAGCAACUUGAUGUAAUUCUAGCAUUUGGGAUGGAAUGGAGGAGCAAAUAUGCAGCAAGAUGAGCCCUAGUGCUUGCUAAAGUAAAUAAAUAAAUAAUAAAAGCGAAAAGGCAAAAGAAAACUACAAAGGCAUUCUAAAUUGGUUUAGGAGUAGCUAAAAGUGAUUUGGAGAAGCCAAAAUAGAUUUCAAAAGGUUAUUUAAUCAAUGUUAAAACCAAUUUGUGAAUGAGAAUUGUCAUAUUAAUGGAGUCUCACAUCAUAAAAGCGAUUUAGAGGAGGCUGAAAUCGAAAUUCCAAUCUUAGGUUAAAAGUUAAAAUUGGUUUCCAUAUUGAAAUUUUGAUUUCAUCUUGUUGAAAUCAGUUUUUCCAAAAUUUACUGCAUAUGUCAAAUCAAAAUUUCACACUUUGGUUAAUUUGGUAUCAAAAUCUAGAUUUUAGGCAAUUUUGAUGUAAUUUCAACUAAUUAAGUUAUACGUUUGCUAUGGUGGCCAAUGAGAUUAGGCCAAGUGCCUUUUUAGGGUUAAGAUAUUUAUAUUUUCAUUUUUUUUUCAAGGUUACAAAGAGAACAUUUUUACAAUUUUGUUUGUAGUCACACUUUCUAAACUUUUGUUUCUUUCUUUUUAUUAAUAUCCCAUUUUUUUUCUUAUGGAAUUUGGGUGUGAAAUCUCAAUAUAAGAGAUUAAGAUCUUUAAUUUUGGAGAUGUAGCAUGAAGAUACAUGGAAGAUUUGGACAAGGAGCAUAAGAAAAGUAAUGUCAGAUUAAUUGAUCAUUAGGUUUUCAUGUUUACCUUAUUAGAAUGAGAUCAUCUAUGAAAUUAUGGUUAGACUAAGAUCCUAGUGAUACUUCUAAAACCAUUUGAUCACUAGUUAACAUAAUUUGAUAUACUAUCAUGAUUGAAUUGAAAAUUGAUUGUACAAGAUAGAUGAGUGGUACGAAUGUAUAAACAUAAACCUCAAUUAACCAAUCUAUAUUAUUUAUUUUAGUGAAUCAUGUAAAAAGAGUAUAAAUGUCUUAAAAUUCAAUUUGAUCCCACAUUGACUUUGGUCCUAAACCCUAGAUCUAUGAUUUACUCUCUCUCUCUCUCCUUCUCUUCUUAUGAAUUUGAAGCUAAAUUUUGAAAGCUCCAGAGUUGUUAUCAUAGAUUUGUCUUAAUCAAUUUAAUCUAAAUUCGGUCUUUUUAGAAAAAUUUAUCAAUUAAAUUCACAAUUUUGGGUAUAAGAAUACUUUGUUCAAUACAUAAAUAGUCAAAUGUGUUAGUCUUUAAAGGAUGACAUCUAGAUACCAUACACCAUAACUAUCCUCUCUUUGUUUUUUCUUGGCUAUGAUUUCUAUAAUAAUAAAGAUUUUCGUUCUAAAACAAAGAGUAUCGAUAAAAAAAAAAAGUGUCAUUUUUGUUAGAGAUUGACGACUAUUUUGAAUUGAUAGAUUGUCUUAGUUUUUAGGAGCUUAGAGCUUGUUUUACAAUGUGAUUUAAAAAUAGCUUUCUAUUUUUCUAAAAAAAAAUGACUUCUAAAAUUUAAUAGCAUUGUUUAGCAAUUGUUCUCUAGAAAUAGUUCAAAAAAAAAAAAUGAACGUUCUCUUCACUUGCUUUUAAAUACAAUAAGAGAACAUAGAGAAAUAAGAAUAAUAAUAAUUAAAAAAAAUGAUAAUAUAAGAUUGUGGACCCCGCACUUCUGCACAUGCGUUCCACUCGAUGACGAAACUAGUUGUUUUUAUUUGUUUGGUGAAAUUUUGAUUUUUAGAAAAGACUUGGAGUCACCACUUAUUUUUGUUUUAUUUUUAAGGGAAAAAAAAAUAAGAAAGAAAACUCUAAGUGUGACUCCUUAUUUGGAAAAGACAGUCUAUGGAAAACCAAACUUGGGUUUGGGGGUCAAGUUACUUAUUGGGAAGGUAUGGUAAAGACCAUAACACCCCUCCAAACCCCUAAAAAUGAGUCUCUACUAAAUAAGGUGAAGCAAACGUGGAAAUUGACAAGGAAAUUGUUAGCCCAAGGGUUCUCCUAAUCGGGUUUUGAUGGUAACAAACCAUGGUUAAGUUACUAAUUGGUUUAAAUGUUUAAGAAUCUCAGGUAUAAACUUGAAAAUUCAUCAAAGAACCAAAUGGAUAAAAGAUCGAGUCGCUUGGAAGACUUGUGAUCAUAGGAAACUAAUGUAAGAUGAAUGCAUGAGUGCACUUAGGAUUUUCAUACGUUUCAUGCACCUUAGAAAACUCGGUUUAUUCUUUAAAAUGUCGGUUUCAUUAAAACCUGAGUUUUUAACUAAUUUACCUUAGGCAAAAUGUUUCAAAAUUGGCUUAAUAAUUUACCUAAAGACCUUGCCUAAGUGUUAGAAAAAAAAAAGGAAUAAAAAAAUAGGUUUUUCGGGGCUAAAAAGGCUCAACCGGUCGAGGCUAUGGCCAACCGGUCAACCGGUUAAGGAACCGGUCGAUCGGUUGAGGUCGUCUGGUCGAGGACCGGUCGAGAAAGGUAAAAAACCUUCUCUCUCUCCCAAUAGCCUUCUCUUCCUGGUCGAGGUGAUUCCCUUACCGGUCGAGGUCCGGUCGAGGUCCAGUCAAGGACCGGUCGAGGUCCGGUUGAGGCAACGGUAACCUGUCAUGCAUUAAAUGCUCCAACGGCUAGUGAACCGGUCAACCCCCAGCUAGACCGGACGAGGUUGCCUUUUGCUGUUUUUGACUCCCGAGCUUAGAAACCUAUAAAUUGAGAGCUCCACUUCAUUUAUUGACAAGAGAACACUUACAUUCAAAGCCCACCUACCUGUUCUUGAUCAAAAAGCUCUCAUUUAUUUCAUAGUGCAUUAAAUUACCACUUGCAUAUCCUUUAGUGCACUCUUGUUUGUCAUCCUAGCUUUGUCUUGUAUUUGAGCCAUCUUUAAGCUAGGUUGAGUGAUUAUAUCUUGUAACAAUCCGAGUGUUAAAGCCUUUAAGAGGGUUGAAUCUUGAAGAGGUUGUGUAAGAGCCCAUUGGAUCCGGAAUCUAAGUGUAAGAAGAUUGGAAGCUUGGUUGAAGCUUCAAGUUAGUGGAACCCUCACUCGGUUAGAAGGUUGAGGAGAGUGGACGUAGGCAAGGAAGUGUCGAACCACUAUAAACCCAAGUUUGAAUUCUCUAAACUCUAUCUCUUUACUUUGUUCAUAUUUUGUUUAAAUUUGUUGUGAUUGAAAAGAUUUUAAAAACCCAAUUCACCCCCCAUUUUGGGUGUUUUUCUUAACUAAGCAUAACCUUUGUUUUCUCAGAAAUCAAUAGAUACCAAUAAAAUGAUCGAAUAAUAAAACAAAUUGAGCAUGAGAAUGAAUAAAUAAAUGAAGUAGGAGUGAGAGCGUACCUUAGCAGCAAAUAAUAGUGCACUAUCAUGGAAAAAAGGUUAGCUCAAGUACAAAAUUUAUCGCAUGCAUAUCAAAGAGCAAGACAAAGAUCAAGCAAUAUUCAUUAAGGUGUGGCUCCUAUAGAGGUGCAAAAAGAAGUUUGAUAAGCCCACAAUGCAAACAAAAGCUUCUCUGACCAAUCCCGAGAAGUCUCAAUCAUCCUCUGCAAGAUCCUCUUAAUAUUCUUAUUCACAUCCUCUACCACUUCGUUAGUCUGCGGCCUGUACGCAGACAAUCUAUGAUGCUGGAUAUCGUAUCUCUGUAAUAAAGUGUCAACAUCUGCUCUGAAAUGUACAUCUCUGCUCAAAAUCAGCUUAUGAGGGACUUCAUAGCGACAAAUAAUGUGUGAUCUGAUGAAACUAGUGACCUCAAAUGAUUUCAAUCUCGCAUAUGAAGCAGCCUCCACCCACUUGGUAAAGUAAUCAAUGACGACCAAGAUGAACUCAUGACUAUUGGAAGACUUUGGCGAAAUCUUCCCAAUAAUGUUUAUACCUCAUACUGAAAAUGGUCAUGGUGAAUUCAGUGCAUGUAACUCUAAAAGGGGUACGUAGAUAAGGUCUCUAUGAAUCUAGCACUCUCGACAUCUUUAAACAAACUGGCAAUAAUCUGUCUUCAUAGUCAACCAGAAAUAGUCGGUCUUCAUGACCUUACAAGCUAAUAUAUGUCCUCCCAUAAGUGGUCCACAAACUCCCACAUGAACCUCUCUCAUCACUCAAUCGGUAGAGGCGUGGUGAAAACACAAUAGUAACAUCCCAUCAACUGAUUGUUUGUACAAUGUCUCCCCACGGAUCACAAAACGGGUGGUUAACUAUCUCAAUUCUCUCUUAUCAUUGGUUGUGGCGACCUCAGGAUAUAUGUCAAGUCUCAAAAACUGAUAUAUGUCAUGGCACCAAGGCAAACCAUCAUCCAAAUCUGCCUCAUUAAUCAAGCAACAAUAGGUAGGAACUGAUCUCGACUCAAUCAGUAAAGGGCGAACAACAGUAUCAACGGGAAUAUCAAUCAUGGAAGCUAAAAUAGCUAAGGCAUCAGCAAACUGGUUUUGUGCUCUAGGCAGAUGAGUAUAACUCAAAUCAUCAAAUCUCCCAACCACUAUCUCUAAGUAUGCAUGGUAAGGCUUAAGUUUCACAUCUUUAGUCUUCCAAUGGCCUUGAAUCUAUCUCAAUACCAGAUUGGAGUCACUAAACACCUCCAUCUGUCUAAUCCCGAGCUUAAGAGUUGUCUCUAAUCCCAAGAUACAAGCCUCAUACUCAACAAUAUUGUUCAUGGCAAGGUGUCGACCAAAGAAUGCCAAACGAACAAAUCUAGGAAUGUGGUCACCGUGAUGGGAUAUUAGUAGAACACCUAUCCCGUAUCCAGAAUUGUUGGCCGCACCAUCAAAGUAGUCACUGCAGCGAUAUCCUCAUCUAGAAAGUCAUCAUCAAUAGCUCUACCAUCAGAAAAAACUAGUAAUGAGGCUAAGUGAUCUACAACAAUGCUCCAUCUGAUAGACUUUUGAGUGACAUAAUGAAUAUCAAACUCAAUCAGGAGUACCAACCAUCUCAUGAGUCGAUCAAUCAAAGCAAGCCUGUCAAACAAAUAUCUCAGAGGAUCUAGACAAGAUAUCAAGUGCACUGAAUACUCCGUCAUGUAAUGUCUCAAUCUCUUAGUAGCCCAAACCAACGCCAAACAGAAGCGUUCAAUCAUGACAUAUCUUGUCUCAUAAUCAAGCAUCCUCUUACUCAAAUAAUAAAUAGCUCGCUCAUUUCCAGAAUCAUUGAGCUGAGCUAGCAUGCAUCCCAAGGCUAUAUCUAAGACUAACAAGUAUAGGAAUAAGGGACGACCUGGUGUAGGAGGCACCAAGAUUAGAGGCGAAAACAAGUACUCCAUGAUCCUCUCAAAUGCACGCUGACACUCAUCAUCCCAAACAGGAGGUCGACUCUUCCUCAAGAGUAAAAAAAUGGGCUCGCAGAUAUCUGUCAAUCUGGCGAUGAAUCUACUAAUCUAGAGUCUACCUAAAAAACCUUUGAUCUCUCUCUCAGUCCUCGGCGCAGGCAUGUCAAGGAUGGCUCUGAUCUUAUCUGGAUCUAUUUCUAUGCCUCUCUCACUGACCAUGUAUCCCAGAAGUCACUCCAAAAGUGCACUUCUUGGGAUUCAGUCCUAAUCUGAACUGUCUGAUCAUAUCAAAGAAUCUCUUUAAAGCUACUAGGUGAUCUACUCUAUCUUGGGAUUUCACUAUCAUGUCGUCUACAUAGACCUCGACAUCCCGAUGCAUCAUGUCAGGGAAAAGGAUAGUCGCUGCUCUUUGAUAAGUAGCUUCUGCAUUCUUCAACCCAAAUGGCAUAAGUAGCAGUAAGUACCCCACUCAGUAAUCAAAGACGACUUCUCCAUGUCCUUUAGAGCCAUCAUAAUCUGACUGUACCCAAAAAAUCCGUCCAUAAAGGACAACAUCGAAUGACCUUUUGUACUAUCAACUAGCAUGUCAAUGUGUGGGAGAGAAAAAUCAUCCUUGGAAUUGAUCUUGUUGAGAUCUCAAAAAUCAACGCAGACUCUCACCUUGCCAUCCUUUUUGGGAAUAGGGACGACAUUGGCCAACCACUCAGGAUACUCAACCACUGAUAAGAAUCCCACACUAAGUUGCUUCUGAAUUUCUUCUUUCACCUGCAGACUCCAACGAGGAUGCAAUCACCUUAACUUCUGCUUAAUCGGUUUAGCAAGGGGCAGUAGUGGCAAGUAAUGCUGGACUAUGGAUAGAUCAAGGCUAGAUAUGUCCUCAUAAGACUCUGCAAGUGAUGUUGGACUAUGGAUGGAUCAAGGCCAGACAUGUCCUCAUAAGACCAUGCAAAGACAUCCAAAUAUGAUAUGAGUAACUGGACAAGGCCACCACUCUCAUCUGUAAACAAAUCCAAUCCAAUCCUCAGCUCCCUAGGAUGGUCUUUUGUGCCAAAAUCAACAAUCUCAACGUCUCCUGUGGUAGGUGAAACUCUCUGAUCACUAGGACUCAAAUUAGAAGCAGAAGAAGAGUCUGCAUCUGAAUCGUGAUGUACAAUCUCAUCAUCUAUAUCAAAUAUUUGUGAUGUGGGUGAAUGAGGUGCAGAUAAAGUGUUAUCACAAGAAAUAGGAAAAUACUCAAAAAGACUCAUAUCCAUAUAUGAAGAAAGAGUCAGUAGAUCAUCAGAAUGGGAGACAAACCCAGACAACAUAUCAGAAGAAAGUGGUGGGUCCACAUGUUUGGACUCUACCAUGACUGGGCUAUUCACACCCAUAAAUACAUCAUCAUUAACUAUAUCAUCCUCUGAAAACUCCAGAGUAGGAGCAAUCUGGGUCUCCUCAGCAACCUCCAUGGCGGACACCCCAAAUAGAUCAAAUGGAGAAGCAAACUCAGGUUGGACUAUCCCAUCAAUCUGACUCAUACUCAUCGCGAGCAUCUCAUCAAUGUAUUUGUCGUGUGGAACAACUCCAUCCACCAUGUCCCUAAUCUCAGCAAAUGUCCCAUGCUCGUCGACCUCAUCCGAGAAAUAGAGUGUCAUGAGGCUCAUAUGAUCUGGAGAUGAUGGGGUGGCUAAUGCAGAAGCAGAAGUGCCAGGAGCUCCAUCACUCAACCGUAGCUGAUGAACAAGACGCUGAAGCUCAACCUCUUGAAUAGUGUUGAAUCCAUCAAUAAUCCCACUUGAAUGCGUCUAUGGCUUCGAUGCCCUCACAAAGUAGUCCGCCAAGCUCAUGUUGUAUGAGCAAAUAGGAUAGUCAAAUGGUGUGUGAGUCAAUCGGGCUCUCACUCUCUCCUUGCGCAAUCACAACAUAUAUCAAUAAUCGGCCUCAAUAGGAAUAAACCUAACUCCAAAUGGUACAUCAUGAUCAACGAUAGUUAUAAGCUCAUUGGGCCCAUGUUGACGUCGCCCUAAUCCCAUGCUCGGCAGAAAAGACAUGCUCCUCAUCAUGUCAAGCACCACUAUACUACCGUGCUGAUCAAAUGACAUAGCCACAAAGUCCCUACAAAAAUCCUCAAUCUCCAGAGUCUACACAUCAUCAAAUGUGAACCCAGUAAAAAACAAAUCAUCCUCAUUGUGACUAAUCUGAAGCAUUGGCUUGGAAGAAGCAAACAUAUCUCCAAUAGACUGCACCGUGAUGACCUAGCCAUCAUGAAUGAACUUCACCUUCUGAUAAAGGGAAGAAGGAAUGGCCCCAGCUCUAUGAAUCCAAGGUCGGCCAAUAGUAGGUUAAAAGAUGUAGAAAUCCUCAAAACCUGGAAUAGAGUAGGAAAUGUAGUCGGACCUAUCAAUAGCUCGAUCUCCAAAGUGCCCAUGACCUCCCUCUUAAUGCUAUCAUAUGCUCUGACUUUCUGAGUAGAGGGACCAAAGUUUGAGGACGCAUAGCCGAGGGCAAUGACAUAAGCUAAGGGAUAGACGUUCAAGGUUGGGCCAUCGUCCAAAAUGACAUAUGGGACUCGGUGGCCUGAAAAACCAACUGAGAUGUAUAGAGGACAUGUAUAGUUUGAACCCUCGAGUGGCAAAUCAUCAUCUAAAAAUAUAAUGCAAGUGGCUCUGCUAGCCGUCAUCAUGUGAAUCAACCCCUCGAGAAUAGUGGUAGUCUCUGAUUACUACUCAAAAAGUGCUAUUUGAUAGCCUUUAAUUAAUCCUUUUUAACACUUUUGAGUAGUAGUUUAGGCCUUUUAACUCAAUUGGCAUGUUAAUGAUCCUUUAAAGCAAUUUUGAUCACUUUGUGUAAGUUUUGGUGUUUUUGUUAGUAUUUUGAUCACCAAAGCAAGUCAAGACUGAGGAGAGCUAUGAGGAAUCGUGGGCAAAGCUUAGAAUCCAAUUGCCAAGAGUGAAUCCAGAUUGCAAGGAGAAAAAGCAAAGAGAAUCUGCCAUGAAGCCUAUUCUUGAUGACAGUUGUAGCAGCCACUUUUUGAGCACUUUCUGAAGUCCAAAUGAUACAUGCUAUAUACCAUUUCAAAGCUCAGGAAGUCAACAAUCCAAUGCUUCAAACGGUGCGCGAUUCGGAGUUGAAACGAAGAAGUUGCAGCCAUUACAAGUCAAUCACUCUAAAGUGUUGCGGAAUCAGCCUUUUGUUGCGAGAAUUUCGCAGCACUUUUGUACAGUAAGGUGUUUCUCCUUCUGACGAUGCACGAACCAUGCCGCGAGAAGGGAGCUGGAAACCUCAAGGUGGAAGCCAACUUCGCAGCCCUGUGAAGAUAGCUCGGUCUUGCAAAAUAAUUUCGCAGCCCUCUUGGAUGUCUGCGAAAUUUCGCAGACACCAUUUUACUCCUACGAAAUGGCUCCUGAAGCCUCCCGAAGCUUGCUACCGACAUUGGGAGAUAUUUUCCAUUAGAUUUUUGUUGUCUAAAUCCCAAAAUACUCCUUGUAAACCACCAAUUACAUGAUUCCUUAGUUUUUAAGUUAGUAAAAAGACCAAAUAUCUUGGUAACAAUUAGUUUUAUAUUGUUUUGAUAUAUAUACCUCUCGGGAGCCUGUUCUCAUAGAGGAGUUCCUUCUGUAACCAUUUGGUAAGGAAGUAAAGGUCUUUUCUUUCUACUGCCUUACCUUCUCACUUUGUAUUUUCAUUUUCUUACUAAGUUAUGAAUUCUCUGAGGAGUUUUCCCCAGAGAAUGAGUAACUAAACCUCCAAUUCCUUGGAGCUAAGGUUGCCAGGGAAGGUUCCAAAUGCAAGAAUGCAAAGCUCUGUGGUUUUAGCUAAUAAUGAAGAGGAAGUGAAAUCCUUUAGUGAUUUCAAUGUUUUUAGUUAACUUAAAACACCUUGGAGUCACCUAGGCCAACACUUGGUAAGGCAAGUGAUUUCCAACCAUGGAAAUGCACUAGUUUACCCCUUGCGAGCCUCUGGUAGGUGACUUUAAGGUAGGAUUUUCUGGAAUUACCAACACUUGGUAAGCUUUUGGACUCUUAGGAGACAUCCAUUAGUUAUCUCUUGCGAGUUUGUGAAGGGAAGUCCAAGGUUAAAGAUCACCUUGAAUGGUAAGUGCUCGUGAGAGGCAUGAACCAUUGCAAGUUGCAUCAGUGAGAGAAUUAAAGUGAAAUCUAAUUGAAGGAGUCUCUAUACAUCACCGGUUAGAGAAUUAACUAUAAGUUGAAUCUUUAAUGCGAGGAAAUGAACCAUCUGACCGGAGCUAUGUCUUUUGCAUGAGGAACCACCCCAGUGAACCUAAAUCUCCAAGGAAUGCUUUUCUUCCUAAAUUAUUCCAAACUUCUGUUAAGUUAGUUAGUUUAAAUCUCAACCUUUACAAAUCAAAGUUUGUGUUUUAUUUCUUAAGCUAACCGUGAAAUGAAACAAGACCAAUUCACUUGGAAUUGGUAUCAUUGAUUGCUUGCAAAUCAUUCCCAGUGAACGAUCCUAGAGCCACUAUACUAUAGUAGCUUUUUAUUUGCUACCCUAGUGUAUGGUGUUAUAGGUAUAAAUUUUGUUGAUCACUUCCUCAAUCAAGGAGCACCAGCUGAACACAAAUCAGCUGAGACACCAAUUGGGCAUGAAUCAGUCUCGACUCUAAUCUAACUCAAGGAUCAAAUCAAUGCAUCUUUAUGAGUGCUAGAAGAUGCCAAUAAGCUCCAAAUAGAUAUACAAGUCUGGGUACUCUACAACUGUCUCAGAAUAUCAUCAUCAUCUCUCCUGACCUCCUCAUGAGAGGCUGCACCCUCCAAGGGUCUAGCGGUUAUGAGGGGUUGUUGUCAUACUACCUUACCUCUGUGAAUAACAUAUUAUAUAUCUGGAGUAUGAACAUCAUCAACAUAUGGAGUAUGUACCUCAUCAACGUCUGGAAUCAAAACAAACGGAGUCUGAACACUAUUACAUGGAAAAAUCAAUGGCUCGACUAUAGUCGACUGUACUGAUGUCACAUCGGGAACCAAUCUGAAUAGUGUGGGCAUCCAUGGGCCCAAGGUCAUUCUACCUACCUCAUAAAUCCCAUCUACUACUAUAAGCUCUAGCACUGACUCAUCCCAACUCAGCAUGUGGAUAUGAUCUUAUGGCUUAGUGAAAUCCAUGAAAUGUAUACCGUUGGCUAGCAGAGAUACUGCAUGUGAAGUAUAAGCUGGCAGAGGGUUAGUGGUUACACUUGGCUAACCCAAGUGAACCAAACCCUAAUCUAUCAAGUCCUCGAUGGCGUGCCUCAAAGCAGUGCAAUGGUCCGUGUCAUGCCUUAGACCUUAAUGGUAAGAACAAUGUAAAUCCAUCCUGAAGCGAUGUGGCAUGAGUUGAGGUAUAUGCCAAGGAGCUAACUGAGUCAACAAACCACCCUCCAUGAGCUUCUAGAAAGCUCGGUUCAAAGGCAUACCUAGCUGGGAGAACUAUUGUGUCAACCUUUGUACAAAAGAAAUAAUAGUCUGUGGGGCUCGGGGCUGAGGGUAUAAAGUAGGAGGUCUCUCUAUGACAUGUGCAACAAAAACAGGUUAUGAGACCGGAUGUAGAUAAGUAUGAGUCAUAGGUUUGGAGGAAACAGGUGGCCUAUACUGCACAUGAGGUGGUGAUGGGUAGUAGAAUCCAAAAGGCUGCCCAACUGUCUGAUAGUAUCUAGAAGGUCUCAACCCUGUUGAACUGAUAGCACUCACAUCUUUUAGUCUCUGUUCUCCUAAAGGCUUCUUUCCCUAAGAGUUAGUAGGGGAAGACUCGGACCAUAAUCCUCUAGUUAUGUCCUCCUCUAUACCAUAUAAAUCCUGUACCAAAGAUCCAAAAUCCGUAUGAGGAAAUCCCAUCAAGUGCCUAGCAAAUCAAGGCUGCAAGCUCCUCAUGAUCAUACUAAUCUGAUCAUUCUCUGAAGGAUGAUCAAUAACCUGUGAAAUCUUCUCUCUUUAGCGGGAGAUAAAUGAGGUGACUGACUCCUCUAGCCUUUAUCUCAAAGUCUCAACUCUCUCCUCAAAACAUCAAUGACAAUGUUAAAUGCAAACUGUCUCAAGAACUUCUAGGCCAAAUCAUCCCAAGUUCGGCGGCAUGAUACAUCCAAUGAAGCAAACCAACGUUGUGCCACACCACUCAGGGAUAUAGGAAAAAACAUAACCAUCUGGGCCUCAUCCAAUCCAUGGGCUCUCAUAACUGUAUUAGAAAGCCUCAAAUGGAUGCGAGGAAAGCCAAUGUCCAUGUAUCUCUCAAUCUUAGACAUCCUAAACUUGGUCGAUAAACUGGCCACUGGUGCUCCAUUAAAAUCCUCCCAAGUAAUAGCUCCAUCUGAAGUCUUCAUCUGUCUCAUCCUCUGCUCAAGUCUAUCCAUACGAGCAUAUGGGUCCUCUAAGAUCGGGGUAGGCACUAUGACAGGAGACAAGGCAACCUCAGUCUGACUUUAUAAAGUAAAUGAUAUAGGUUGUGAAACUAUCUGACCAAGUGGGAGAGGUGGCGGAAUAGUGGGAUCAUACUGCACACUCUCCUGAAAUGAAACCUUUUGGGUUUGCUACCCAUCCAUCAUUUGAUCAAGACUAGUUAUGGCCUCCUGGAUCGAAGCCAUAGCAGCAACGAACUUAUCAAAUGUAACCACCUACGAAUCCAUAUCUGCCUGAUCUAACUGGUCUGACACUCUGAUCAAUCUACCUUUAACUAUGAUCUAAGAAGCUGAACCCAGAUCAAACGUAUCAAUACACCUACAAUAGUGGAAAUAUUAGAUAAGAUAUUGUGUAAGGGAAACUCUACAAGGAGUGUCUAUCAACUAUGCAAGAAGGUAACCUGGAAGUAUUCAAAGUGAUAUCUAAUUCUGAGCAAAUAUAUAAGAGACUACUAUGAAGGUAACUAAAUUUAUCACUACUGACCCGGCUCUGAAGGCCCAUAGAUGCACCCAUGUGUGGGAAAGGAAAUUCUGAUCGAAUAAUCUAAGGCUCAACCUAUAAGGUCAAGGUGGCUCUAAAAAAAAAAUGGACUUUAAAGGAUCCCUAGCAGAAGCGAUCAUACCCUUCGACGGUAUGCAACCCUCUGCACGCCUUUGAAAAGACGAGGCACUUCCAUGCAAGGUGGUCAUCACCUCUACACAUGCACUACCUCGACAUCCUAAGGGGGUUUGCUAUAGUGAAAGCUCUCAUAACUCUCAGCACUCAAUAGUCAACUAAAGUGCAUAGUGAGUGGUGCAGGUGCAUCCGAAAAACCUAUGAAGCUAAAGUAGAAAAAAAACACAUUAGUCACACAAAUAUCCAUGAAACCUAGCUUUAGGCUAUUCAGGUCUUCAAAGAUCGGACUCCAAUCAACAUCAAUGUGUCAGCCUCCUCAAGAAUGCUCCUAAACAUCAAUAUAGCCCAUCGCUAGACCUUACUCCUAACCACUAGCUCGGUCAUAGAAACAAGUACACACAAGGCCUCACACUUGCAAAUAUAAGAACCGAAAUGAAGGAAAUGACCGAAACCAAAGGGUUGGAGGUAAGGGGAUAGAUGUGCGAUCCACACGGACAAACAACAUACAAUCACAUAGGAGAAGAUUAGUUAUGCAACAAGAAGUCAAGCAGAGCGCAAGUAUAUCAUCCAUGUCCAUACACAAGCCAAACGAAAAUAUGACAAUCAAAAUGACUAGCAACAAGGAUAGCAUGCUCAAAUAUAAUCAAGAUAACAUACAAGCAAGAUAAUCAACACUAAGACAAAUAAGAGAUGCAGCAAAGUGAACAUACAUGUCAAAGUGAGUAGGAUAAUCAAGGCAAGAGCAAGAUCGAUCAAUAUCAUCAGCAUGCCAAUGUCGCAAAGGGAUAUAACAAUUAAGCAUAGAAAAUCGUUGCAUCAAAAUCCUCAAUGUGCUAUGAUCACUCAAGCAUUGAAAAUUGUAAUUUUGAAAAAUUAUUUGAAAAUUGGAGUUUUGAAAAUUAAAUUUAAAAAUUAGAAUUUUGGAAAAUUAAAUUUAAGAAUUGGAAUUUUGGAAAUUAAAUUUGAAAGAAAUUGGAGUUUUGAAAAUUAAUUGAGAAUUGGAGUUUUGAAAGUUAGUUUUAAGAAUUGGAGUUUUGAAAAUUAAUUUUGAAAGAAAUUGGGGUUUUGAAAAUUAAUUGAAAAUCGGAGUUUUAAAAAUUAAAUUUAAGAAUUGGAGUUUUGAAAAUUAAUUUUGAAAGAAAUUGGAGUUUUGAAAAUUAAUUGAGAAUUGGAGUUUUGAAAAUUAGUUUUAAGAAUUAGAGUUUUGGAAAUUAAAUUUAAGAAUUUGAAUUUUGGAAAUUAUUUGAAAAUGGAAGUUUUAAAAAUUAAAUUUGAAAAUUAGAAUUUCAAAAAAUUAUUUGAAAAUUACAUUUAAGAAUUGGAAUUUUUUUAAAACAGAAGUUUUGAAAAUUAAAUAUGAAAAUCGGAAUUUCGAAAAAUUAUUUGAGAAUGGAAUUUUUAAAAGAUCAAUUUUUUUAACAUAAAAAGAUGGAUUAGGAGGGUGACAUGUGGCCUAGGAAGUUGUAUUGGAAGGUGGCCAUGCAUGGCCAAACACUUCAACGUAUAUUUUACAUACAAUAUCAAAUUCAAAUUAAGCUUGCGAGACCCUCAUUCCAAAUUUCAUUUCUCCAUGUGUUCAUCCUUAUUCUCAACUUUAUUUGUUAUCUCAAAUAUAGUAGCAGCAAACCCAUUUUCCAUCAACCCACUCCAUGUGAAAUACAGUAACAACAAACCUAUUUUCCAUCAACCUAGUCCAUGUGAAAUACAUACAGUAGAAAAAAACCUAUUUUCCAUCAACCCACUCCAUGUGAAAUAUAGUAGCAAAAAACCUAUUUUCCAUCAACCCACUCCAUGUGGGGCCUUAGGUCCAAGUGAAUGAACUCAUUUUCCAUGAAUCAAACUAUUUUUUGUAGCACUAGUAACUAUUAAAAAAAAGUCCAAUCGUGCAUGGGGGCCACCAGGAUGGAGAGCCAUUUCAGUGCCUGCAAGGUUUUGAACCUACUAUGCUUAAGGAUUGGCAAUGGGAAGACAAUUCAAAUUGGUGUAUGAGUAUAAUGGAUGUGAUGAAUGGGAAUAUGAGUGAUGGAGCAUGCACCUAGGGAAAGUUAUUAAUGGCGGGUAUGAAAUAUGGGAAUAUGUGUGGUGGAGCAAAUAAGGAGUGGAGAAUGAAACCUGGUAGUGUUGAGGAACUGGACCUGAGUAGUGUCGGGUAGAAAAUAUGGAGCUGGGUUGGGUAAAACUGAAGAAUGUUAGGCUUGGGAUUUGGGUCUAAUAGAUAGGCUUUGAUAGAGGUUUUGCAAAGGUGGCCAUACAGGAGUUAUUCACAUGCUUAUGAAUGGUGGGGGAAGAAAACUCAGACCAGAUUUGAAAAUAAGAACAUAAAUAUGAUCUCCAAUGCAUAAAAUAGCUUAAAUUAAAUCAAAUUAUUCCCAAGCCAAAAGCCAAAGUAUAAAUAAAUAAACCAACAACAGCACACCUAUGAAUGGCUCAGAAAUCCAAUAAAUUCAAACACAUUACCUAAUGUUCAUGCUUAGCAAACAAUCCACAAAAAAGAAAAUAACAAAAAGGAAGAAGAGCAUAUUAUGGUGAAGCAGAAUCAAACCUAAGCAAGUCCUCUCACUCUUUCUGUUUUUCUCUCUUAGAUACCGACUCUCUGUUUUUUCUUUUUUUCACUCAAGCUCUCUUCCUCAAGCUCCGUUUUCAGCUUGUUUUUCUUCCCCUUCCAACUUUAAAAAAAACCUCUCCUUGCUCCUCUUUCUUCCUCCCAACGGCCACCUCUUGCUCUUGCUAAAAAAACCUCAUUUUCCAAAAUAUUUAAAAAUAAAAAAUAAAACAAUUAUUAAUAUAAGUUGACAAACUAAAAUUGUUCCAAAAUGACUCUCCUCUACACAUAUCUAUAUUAUUUUAAAAUUUGUUAUUAAGCAAAUAGAUUUAAAAUCAAGCAAGACUUAAAAUGUUGAAUUUAUUAAUGAAUUUAAUUGUUUUUAAAAUAAUUUGAAACUUGAAAAUAGAUAAAAUCACUACCAAAAAUAAUAGAUCAAAACUAGUAUAUAAUGAGUCAUAGCUUUAUUGCUUUUUCUAUGUACACAACUAUAUUUUACGAGUUUUAUCACUAAGUAAAUAGAUUUUAAAUUAUGUGAGACUUAAAACUUUAAAUUCUUUAAUGAACCUUCUAAAUUUUAAGGAUAAUUUGAAAUUUAAAAAUUUGAUCAAAUUAAUUAUAGACUAAAUCAAAACUUGUCCAAAAUAGGUCCAAACUAAAAUACUAAAUAUGUACAUGCAACGGUUUUAAAUAGAAUAUUAUUAACCAUUAUUAUUUUUUAAUUAUUAUUAUUUUUAAAUAAAAAUUAUUAUGCUUUUAUGAAGGUAUUAAUCUCUAUAUUUUUAUAAUAUAUAAUAAAAUAGUAUUAGUUUUUUUAAUAAACAAAAUAUAAUUUAUGAUCUUAAUAUUAGUUUUCAUAUUUUACGAAAAAAAUAUUUAUUUUAAAAUUUUAUUUGUAAUUAAAAAAUUAUUUUUAUUUUUAAUAAGACUUGAAUUAACUUGAAUUAAUAUUAUAAUUGAAUUUAUAAUUUUUUUUCUAAAAUCAAAACAUAAAAACUAUUUAUAAAAACAACUUAUUUAGAUAAGGUUUUUUUUAUUUCUUUGAAAAGUGUUUUUAAAAGAUAACUUGCCAAAUAGUCUUGUCUUUCGAAAAUAUACAAAAUAAAAUAAAAUAAAUUAUUUUUGUUCUUUAACUUAAAAACUGUUUUUAAAAACAAGUAUAAGCAAACAUUAUCAAAGUGAGCCGUUAGUUUUUAGCAAUUAGUUAUUUUUGACAAAGUUUAGUGUUUUCACAUUCAGAAAGUUUAAAGUAAUUUGUUUUCAUUUUAGUUUAAUAUUCUCAUUAGCUUUUUUUUUUUUUUUUUUUUUUUUUUUUACCUUAGAAUUUCUCCAAUUUUAUGCUUAGUAGGUAAAUAGAUUUUGCAGGUAGACUUCAAUGAAUUAAUCAAGCAAUUCAACCUAUGGUAGAAGACAAUUAAGGUCAAAACAACAAUAACAAUCGACCUAUGAUGUCUUUCCAUGAAUACAGAUCAAUGGGAGAGCAUUUGAACCCUCCUCGUCUUAGUACACCUUCAUGCUUCAUCAUGUCGUAGGAUCAUGUGACCAUCAAGCCUCAAUUGGUGCCUUUACUCUUGAUCUUCAAAGACAAUGGAAAUGAAAACCCUCACACCAAUAUCAAGGAUGUCAAAGAAAUUUGCUUCACCUUUCAAGAAGCAAACAUGCCUCUAGACGCGUUAAUAAGAAUAAAGCUUUUUCCACUUACGUUGAUAGAUCAAGCAAAAACAUGGUUGAACACCCUUGGACCACAAGGCAUUGGGACCUAGAAUAGGUUGCAAUUGAUCUUCCUUAAAAUUUCUUCCUACCACACAAGACUAAUGCAUUGAAAAGGGAAAUGUCAAAUUUUACAACCUGGGAAAACAAUAAAUUUUUCUCAUGUUAAGAGCACUUUAAAUGGAUUUUAAAAGCAUGCCCACAUCAUGUCUUUGAUAAUUACAAGUUGAUUUUCAAAGCAAUGUUAGAGACGAUGUGUGGAGGAAAUUUCAUAAGAGUCUAGAUAAAGCUCCUUCAAUUUCUAGAUUAUGUGGUUGAAGCAACAAAGAGUUAGAUAGAUCAUGUGAUUAAUGAAUCACAAAGAAAGCAAAGUUCCAAAAAAAUUGAAAGUUUGUGAUAUCUUCAACUUGUUUGAAAGCAUGGAUUUUCAAUUAAAUAUUUCUACCUUAACUAGGAGAUUAGAAGACUUGGAGACCAAAGGAGUCUAAGAGGUCAAAGCAAUGAAUAAGUUAAGAGUGAUGAGAUGUUUGAUAUGCUAGUUAAAGGAGCACGAGAUUACAAGUUGUCCAACACUUCUAGUAGUGAGGCACAUGUUCUCAAAGUUGGCCAACACUUUUGAUUCAUUCAAAUAGAAUAGUAAAACUCUCCAUUCUCCAACACCUAUAAUCUAGUUUAGAUUAAUCAUCUUAACUUAUCUUGGAGAUGGAGUAGUCAAUUUCGUUAGCAAAAUCAUCCUAUGAACCAACAUUCAAAAUGCUUAAUAUCCCUAAUUAAUGAAAGUAAAUUACACACAAUAGAUAAGUUGUGAUUACUCAAUAUAAGGUUGGGUGAUAGUUGUAUUUUCCAACACAAAAUGAUGUAAUUGCAAUAACAAUUUAUGGUCGACAAUGGCCACACAAGCCCCAAGUAAAGGCUUCCCACCUUUGCAUUCAUCAUUCCCAACAUUAGGAAUUCUAAUUGCAUCUAUGCUUGAUAGGUACUCUAUGCAAAACUCUAAAGCUUCCUUUGUAUCAUGGCAUUCAACAAAACAUCCCUCUCAGCAAUUAUGAUUUUGUACAUAACCCUUUAAUACCUUCAUAACCUUUCAAAAGAAUACAUCCAUCUAAGGUAAACUGGCCUACAUGAUCUCAUUUUACUUGUCAAGUGCAUUAUUUAAUGAAGUAUAAUGUCAAAAAAUGAAGGUGGAAUUUUUUUUUCAAGUAAGCAUAAUAUCACCACCAACUCAUCUUAUAGUCUAUCCAAUUUAAACACAUAGACUACUUUGCUACAUGAGGCAUUGAAAAAUAAGCAUAAUCUAGAUAUAGUGUCUCACAUGCUUAAUUAGAAUAUAUUGUAAUUCUACUAGUAAUAUGUUGCAUGAGUGCAUGAUAAUCAUGGGAUUUAAGACCAUAAAGCUUCAACUUUUCCAUUGACACAAGUUUUAUGAAGUUAGAGGACUAUCCUUCAAGGACUUUCAAGUCAGCUAAGGUUUGAUAUACCACUUUUUUCUCUAUCCUAGAAAGUGUGUAGCAUGUAGGUGGGAGGCAAGUAUGAUUUAAGUCAAAUUUUCGUGCCAAUUCAAACCUUAUGCCCAUCUCUCCAUAAGAUCCAACCCAGAAUUGAGUUCAUCUUUUAUUUUUCCUGGAAUGUUAACCAAGGUGCCAAUGAUGCUUUCGCACACAUUUUUCUCAACCAAUAUUCUAAUUUGUAAUCGACAUACAAAUGUUACCAAUAUUCUAGAUCAAAGAAUAUGGGCAUCUUUUUCCAACAACUUAUAGUAUUCACACUAGAAGUACUUGCUUUAACCUUCUUUUUUUCCCCAUGAUUAAAAAUGGAAUCAACUUCUUCUAGUAUUUCCUCUCUAGUUAAUGGUUAUGGAGGUAGCCCAAACUCUUGCUAACCAUUGAAUGCCUUCUUUUGUUUCCUAUAAGGAUGGUUAUAUGGAAGAAACCAUUUAUAACCUAUAAACGAGUUUUUCUUCCCAUGUUUCGAUCUACAAGAAUAUGUUUCUUUCCCACAUAUUGGUAAGCAUAAUUUCCCUUAACAUGAACAACUCUCGUUAAUGUGCAUCAUAUACUUUGACUCUUACCUCCCAAAGAGUUUUAAGAGCUUCCACCAACAGUGCCAAGUAAACAUCUAUGUAAUUUCUAGGUUAUCAUGGAUUUGAUAUCAAUAAUGAUAACAUCAUAAAUUUCUAUUUCAUGCACAACCAUGGUGGAAGGUUACAUGUGAUCAUUAUAUAUAAUUGACUAAAUACUAUGACAACUACUAAGAGAAUUGUGAGGAUUUAUGCCAUCUAUUAAAAUAGCAAGUCUAAGUUUUCUAGUCUCAGAAACAAACCUGGGCCAUAAAUGGUCAACUAGCUUCCAUGAUGAAGAAUCAAAUGAGUAAUGCAAAUUCCCAUCAAAUUUUAUUUCUUGGGCAUGCCAUGUGAGAUUUUUUUUACUAUUUGUGAGGAUUGGAAUGUUUUUUUAAACCUUGAGAUAGGUGGUAAAUACCACAAGACUUUUGCAGGAACACUUAUUCUCCUUUUGUUUCCUUUUUUAUUUACCUUCUACCUUGAUGUUCCAAAAGUACGACAUAAUGAUACAUUUUUAUGCUUAUUUCUGUAAAGGAUACAAUCAUUAGUGCAAACAUGUAUUUUUUCAUAUUCCAUUCUCAAUGCUAAGGUUUUUUUUUUUUUUUUUUUUGCUUCAUACAUGCAUUUCAUUGUUGAUUGGGAGUGAUACACUCUAAAAAACUUUUGUCAAACCACACAUAUCUUACUAUCAAGUUAUACAAUUUUACCAAUGCAGAUAACUUUAUAAACUUUGAACAAGCAGGAUAUAAAGGUUUUUUAUCAUCUUCAAGUAUUCUUUUAAAUGAUUAGGGAUCCUUCAUAUGAUCAUCUUGUGCAGCAUAGACCAUCUAAAUGGUAUUGUCUAAAUCAUCACAAUUAAGUUGAUCAUAAUGAUAUCCUUCAUAGUUGUUGCUUCCUUACUAAGAACUACCUCUCCAUGCUAAUAUCGUGUGCAGUAACUUUGAUUAAUUCCAUUGAAAUAUAAGUGUUCUCUAAUCACUUGAGGAGUAUGGUUCAUUAAGUUGCUACAAUGUAGGCAUGGACAUAUAAUAUAGUUCAAAUCUCUAGCAUUUAGACUUAUAAAUUGAAUAAAGCUUUCAACCCCUUCUUCAUACUUUUGUGAUCUUCUAUCCUUAAACUACAUCCAAGAUCAAUCCAUUUUUGGGUUGAUUCAACUAAAUUCCUAUAUAACACAAGUUGCAUGAUUUAUUAAUUAUUAAUUCCUAAACCAAACAAGGAUAUAAAUUGAGCUAUACAACUAAUAAAUAAAGUAUUAAAAAACAAAAUGGCAUCAUAAUUGUACCUAUAUUAUAGCACAUGCAACCACCUACAUAUGUUCAAUCUUAAACACUUUAUGUUACUUCAUUCAAAAUAAAUUAAAUAAAUGCAUAACUUCAUUUAGUAGCAUGCAAUGAAUUAUCAAUAGAACAUAUGGGGAUAAUACCAUAACUAGUAUUAGUGAUAAAUCAUAUCCCAUGAUAAUCCAGUAUGCAAUAUAAAUACUAAAACAAGAUAGGAAGACUAAGAACUUAACUAAUUUAGCAUCAUACAACUAAAUCUAAAGUACCCAAUUUUAUUGUGUUCACUAAAAGAAAGAAACAGUAGAAUAUUAAUUUACUUUGCUAUUCUAUAUGAUCCAAGUAUAUAUAGUAUAUCAAAUCCUCAAGUAUGAACUCUCACUACAAGAAAUAAGUUUUUAUUACUUGGAUUCUCAAAAUUAAGAUACUAUUAAUGUAUAUAGAUUCCAUGAAAAUCCUUGUCUUCACAAGGUUGGAAUUUCUAUCCCAUCUAAGAAUUGUAUGUUUUUAAAAUAUUACACAAAGAAGCAAAAUUUAAAAUUGUCAUGAAAAUUUCAACAACAUUUCUAUACUAUUCUCGUAGAUGAGCCCAAAUUCUCAAUGAAAAUCCUUAAUGUUUUUUAAGUAACUUUGUAAAUUUGGAAUGGCUAAAUGUAGUUUCUAUAUUUUUAUCUACUAGAAGCCUUAAGUUAUAAAAUUGAACUAAUAAAUGGGUUAGGUCAUGAUUGGGAAGCUUGUUUUAGAUCUACCAUCUAUAUUAUUUUAUUUUAAUGGAGCCCAAACUAAAUAGGGAACCCAACCAUCUACCACAAUACCAUGUCAUUUUACUAAUAUGGCCUUUGUUUAUUGGUCAAAUUGGGUCCUAUUUGUUUGUACAAAUUGACACUAUAUGUGGAGUGCAGUGUUCAAUAGUUGGUGAUCCAUUUCAUGAUUUUAAAAAAAAGAAUUUGUUUGUUGAUAAAACAACAACCACCCACCACCCAUUCAACUAACAAGAUUUAAGAUUAUUGUUUCUUUCCUAUGGGUGAUAAUAAAAAUAAAAAAAAUUAAGCCCUAAUACAAUGAAAAUAGAAAAAAAGAUUGAAUAGUUUGAUUUUAAGAAACUAUUAAAGUUUUGAUGAGGUGGAUCGAUUUGUUCGAGUUGACACUAAGAAGGCUAUUUUAUUUUAUUAAACAAAAUGAUGAAAAUUACUAUUGGAAUUCACCAAUUAAUCAAUUCUUCAACUACCACAAUGAUUCCCAAACAAUAGACAAAUCCUAAGUCUAAAGGUACCAUUAUGUCAUCUAAAAAUCCAAAAUAUUUAUCCAAACCUAAACUCUAAAACCCAAUGUGUUUCAAACCUCAUCUUAGUAGGAUUUUUUUUAAACAUUAUUUAAAAAAAUUAAAAUUAAAGCAUUGUUGUUUAAAAAAUAAAUUAAAAAAUACAACACUUUUCAUCACUUGUUUUAUUUUUGCACUAAACUCGUAUUUGUUCAAGAGGCGAAAUGACUUUUUAUAUUGAAUUGAAAGACGAGUUCACUUUUCACCUUAAAUUUUUCUAUAUAGAACUUGCUUUUUCAAAAGAUAAGUUCACUUUUCCAAUGUUGAACUCGUCUUUUGAAAAAUACAAGUUCACUUGAAAUCUAAAAAUGUGAUAGUUUAAAAAAAAAAAAAAAUUGGUGGUACGACCUUUUAAAAAAGUACACUACUCUUGUAGAAAGCCCUAUCUCAAUACUCCUUUGACGACUACUAGACUCAAUAGAGUGUGACUUGGUAUAUCAUUUUACAUGCAAUGUUAGAUUUCUUUUUUUUUUUUCUUUUUUUUUUUUGGUUUUCAUAUUCUCAUAAACCAAAAAUGGAAACUAAUGAAUAAAAAUAAAAAUUAAAGAAAAAAAAAAGAAUUUAAAAUAUAUAUCAAGAAAGAAAGAUAUUCACCUAUUUCUUGCAACAUAAGUUCCUCUAAGUAAAAUGAUAAGGUUGCCACUAUGGUUUAAUCUCAGGAGGUUUAAGAGCACACAUCUUGGGGGAAGGUUUGAGAGCACAUCUUCAAUACAGGAAGGUUUGAGAGCACAUCUUUAAUAGGGGAAGGUUUGAGAGCACAUCUUCAAUAGGAGGAGGUUUGGGAACACAUCUUUGGUGGGAAAAUAAGAUUGAUAACUUCUUCUUUUUUAAAUAUAUACUACUAUUAAAAAUGUGAGGUGUUUGUCAAUUUUUUCAUUCCAAAAAUGUCUGACAACUUACCUUUUAAUUCUAAAAAUACUUCUCAACAAUUUAUUAAUAACAAUAUAUUAAUAUUUAAUGUUACAAAAUGUAUUCUAUUAUCAUAAUCUAUUAGUAUCAAAUGACAUUAUACAUUUUAUUCUCUUUAGAACCUAUAAUAUUCUUUGACUCUUGAUGAUGUGCCUAAGCCCCAUAUUUUCAAUGCCCGCAUAAGCCUUUUCUAUCAUUUUCUCCUCUCCAUGGUCACAACAGCUUCUUCUUCAAGCUUUUAGAUUUCUUUGCAAAAUUGCCAUCGUAACAUUCCUCUUCGCCACAAAUGGCAGUCAAUUCAAGACUAUGUAUAGAGUUAUGGUCAUGGUUCUGGAAGGUUUGGAUUGAUGAAAGUGUUAUGUUAGGGACAAGAGAGAGCUUCAAUGAAAUGUAAUGUUUUUGGGAAAGCUAAGAAUGGCAAUGGUGGCAAAGAAGGUGUUCCUGAAAAGAACAAACAGUUUGUGUGGUGGUUUCAGGAGGCGUGGUUGUAUUUUCACAUUCAUAGGGGUGACACGUUUGUUGUCAUAAUUUUUGGUGAAAUUGUUGUCAAUUCUUACUUGGAACCCAUACUGAAGGCACAUUUUCUAUGAAUUUCUUUUCCUUUGUUAAUUUAGUUUGGAUGAAUAAAUUGUUAUUGUGUUUCAUAAAAGCAAUAUGGAGGGUUGGUUUGGAUAGUGGUGAUACUCCACAUUCAGAUAUGUUUUCCUUUUGUAUUUUGGAAACUAACGAAUCAUAACAUGCUUAUUGGUGAAAGGAGAUUGUUGUUUAUUCCAUAUUUGUUUAAAGAGAAUGAAUUGUGUUUGUGGAGUUGACAAUUGAAGAUAUUGACUUCCAAAUAGUUUUAGAGAAUUGGUCAAAUAAAUCUCUGAUAAAUAUUUUUUUUAAUGAAUUUACAACUUAUCUAAGUAGUUUAUCGCAUUGAUGGUAUCUAUGUAUAUCAAUUAUUUGUGUUCUAAUUUAUUGUGAUUCUAUCUCUUGUGUUAUUAAUCAUUUGGGUUAUUGGAUUUUCAUGUUUUGGUUUUUAUCAUUUCCCAUAUUUUUAAUUCAUUGCAUUUUUGUUCAUUGUGAAUGUUAUUUAUUUAUUAUUUUAGCACUCAUUGGGUUUUUUGUGAACACAAUUAGGUCAACUAUUGUUGCCAUUAGUGUUUUUGAUGAUUUUGCUUACAUGUUUAUUAGAGAAAUAUUAGAAUUCAAGGUGUUUGGUACAUUUGAGAGGUAAUCCAAUUUAGUAUGAGAGUAUACCUUUUUUUUUUUAUGAAUCCUGAUUUUUUUUUAUUGGGAUCAAAAUUUGUUACUUACUCUAGAAAUUUAGUAUUUUUGUAAAUACUUUUAAUUUUUCUAAUUAUAUUUUUUUAUAAGUAUUUAUAACUUAAAGGUUUUACUAAAAAGAAAAUGAAGUUAGUAGUUUUAAAUUGAAAUUAGUCUUAUUUCUUAAGGUUUUUUUCCUUUUUCAUUUUUAGCUUAAUUGAAUCUAGAACUUUCUUGUCAAUUAUAAUUCUAAAAGGAGUUUUAGUUACAACCUAUUAAUAUUUAAUGUUACAAAAUGUAUUCAUCCAUUAAUAUCAAUCACAAAAUUUAUUAAUAUUUAAUGUUACCAAAAUCUAUUAAUUAUUCCCUUUAAAAUCACCCUAACAUUAUAAAACAUUAUAAUUAAUAUAUCAUCUAACCAACAAUUAAGAAUUACACCUUCACUCUUCAAAUUUCUUAUGAUGACAGUUUCACUUUUCAUUUCUAAAGUUUGAGAACUUUUUAAAUUUCUGAUAACCUUUUCCUCUUUGAAGAGAAUUAAGAAGUUUUUGUAAAUUGGCACUCCCAAUUUGAAUGAAGUACUAUUUGGUGAGUUAUUAUUUAGUGUUCCGAAUGAUUUUACUUAAAUGUUUGUGUUACUUAUGAGAAUAAUUUGAUUACUUUGUUGAAUUUUAUUUUUAUGAUUUUGAGCUUUUUAAAACAAUACUCAAUUCUUUGAGGAGUUUGUUGGAUGUGAGUUGGAAGAAAAUUGAAAUUUAAGGUAAUUGGUAAAUUUGAGAGGUAACUAAAUUUAGUAUUCAAGUAUACAUUUUUUUGUAAUGAAUUUUAAUUCUUUAUUUUAUAAUUCAAUGUUUAUUAGAAUUGAAGUUUGCUGCUUAUUAUAUAAAUUUAGUAUUUUUGUAAAUACUUUUAAUUUUUAUUAUUUUUAGACAAGUAUUCACAAGUUAAAUCUUUUAAUAAAAAAAAUAAAGUUAAUUGUUUCAAUUGAAAUUUGGGUAAAUGUUUCUAGAGUAUGUUUUUCUUCAUUUUUUGUCUUAUUGGAUCUUAAUUUUAGAAUAAUUAGAACUCUCUAAAAAAUAAAAUCUAUAUAUAUAUUUUUUUUAAUAUAAAUUACCAUUCUAGAGCUAAAUGAAUUUCCUUAUUUUAUAAUUCAAUGUCCAAUAAUAUGCAUAGGAAUUGGACAAUAUAGUUUUUUGUUUUAUAAUCCAAUAUCUAUAAUAAUUGGAAACUACAGUUCUUUAUUUUAUAAUCCAAUGUCUAUGGAAUUAGAGAUUCUUAUUUAUGCUAUAAAUUUAGUAUUUUUACACAUUCUUUUAAUUUGUCUUAUUUUGUUUCUUUUAAAUUUUAUCUUUAACCAAUAUUCACAACUUAAAUCUUAUAAUAGGAAGAGUAAAGUUCCUUAUUUUAAUUGAAAUUGAGGUAAGUGUUUUUCAAGAUUUUUUUUUUAUUUUUCAUUUUUAGUUUAGUUGGAUCUUCACUUUGGGAUAACUAGAAUUUUCUCAUAAUUUUUGUUUGUUUUUUUUUUAUAUAAAUACCAACCACUAUUCUAAAAUGAAUUAAAAAUAACCACAUUUAAAAAUUUGAGAAUGAAAUAUCAAGUAUAUUUGAGAGAUCAAAAACAAUUUUUAUUCUUACUAAGAUAUUUAUCUUUUUAUUUGCUCAUGGUUCUUGUUAUUAUGACUUUGUAUUACAUUCUAGAAACAUAUAGUUUUUCCUUGUGUAAAUAAAUUGAUAAAAUUAAAGGAAAUUGACAAGGAAAGCAUAAAAAUAAAAAGUAUGUUUGAAUAAAUAAUUGAAUUCUUUUUUUUAAUAUUCAUCUACUUUUCAUAAAAUUAGGACAAGUAAAAGUUACAUUUUGUUGUCCCUAAAUUGCAAUGAAUUUAAAUUAACAAUAGAUAACGGGUUUAAAUAAAAUUUGGUACAUAUCAUUGCUAAGGUGACAUUUAUUUUGCUUAACUUAGAAAAAUUGAUUUUAAAAAGAAUUUUACCAUCUAAGAUUUUUGGAAUGGAAAAAUGUAACAUUAUUUAUAUUUCAUCUUAGACCUUUUUUCUUUCCAUUUAUAUUUCAACCCAAUCAUUUUUUUUCCUUUUUUUUUUAUGUCUAGUUUGAUCAUUUGACUUUGAAUCUCUUCUUAGUUUCAUACAAGGAUUUUAAAAGAAUAAAUUAACAUAUUUAAUUUUUUUUAUUGGAUUUGUUUUCAUAUUACCUCACCUGCAUAUAUAUAUAUAUAUAUAUAUAUGUAUGUAUGUAUGGAAGAGUAAGAUGACUUUUUCAAAGAAUCAUUUUUAUAAAAAUGACUAUUUAGAAGAGUUAAGGAGCAAGUCUUUGAGGGGAAAUAAAAUCAAUAGCAAAAGAAUAGGAUGACGUUUUGAAAGAAUCAUUUUUAUAAAGAUGACUAUUUAAAAGAGUUAUGGUCUCUUUCAUAAUUAGAUAUUUAAUUUGAGAACGAGUGGGAAAAUAAAGUUAAUAGUAAUUUGCUUUUUAAUAUUUACAUAUAAGGGGAAGGAUAGGAUGAAUUUUCAUCAAAGAAUCAUCUUCAUGAAAUAGAUAUUUAAAUUGCAGUCAUUACUUAUCAUAUUAAUUAAAGAUAAUGAAAAUUUUUAAAAAAAAGUCAUCGAAACAACCGUCAUUAUCUCCUUUUUUGUAGUGACUUUGGAUAUAGUAUUAGAUACAUGAUUAACAAAUCAAAGGAUUGAGUGCAAUUAAUUACAAUAGAUUUUUUUGUAGGUAUUAGAAUGUUGAUAGAGGCUGGACAAAAAGGAGGUAACUAGGAUUAAGGCCUAAUGGAGUAUUCCACAAUGAAGGCCAAGAACAGGGAAGAAAUGAGUCAACUGCAAAGCAUCCUCCUACCAGGGUCUAACUUUGUGAUUUUCCACUGUAUCAUAUCAGGGUGAUCUGAACAAAUAACCUUGUUCUUAACAAUUAGUCAUCCAUGGCUUGGUAGUCUUUUCCCUAAAACCUCUUCAUAUUAGCUCGUAACCGAUUCAAAAUUCACGAAAUUCAUAUAAUCGUUCAAUGAAUUCCCCGAAUCAAGUUCAAGGUAGUCUUUGGUUUUUCUGAAAAUAUGACUAAUCUACUUCAGUACAAACUGUAGAAGUUACAGAAGAAACAAGCCAUGCAUAAAGCACACACACCCUUCUUCCAAAUUAACAAGCCAUGCAAAAAUCAAAUUCCCAUACAUCAAUAUUAUUUUACAUGUCUUUUUAACAGACUGAAUUCAUUAAGACAGAAGAGUACAUAACUCAGAGGUGAAUCCUACACAGCCACUUCUACAGAACCCCAAAGAUGUAAAAGCUCAGGAACAGACACCCAAGCACAAAUGCAGAGGUUGAAAGCCCUGAGGAACUGGGUAGCACCAAAUAAAUGCCAGAAGUAAAUGCUAUCACCAUUCCUAGGAUGGAAACGUAUGUGAGUAUGGCUGAAAAUUUUAUGAAACCUAGAAGCAGAUGAUAGUUUCGUUCC